rnacentral:lncRNA from 1 species
CCGCAUGUUUCAACUUGCCGUUUGCUUCUCCUCGCUGUCAAAGUCAUCGGAACCGGCAAAAUUCAAAGAUGAAAACAUAAAAAGAAGGUUCGUUCAUUUGUAAAGUUGAGUUUCUCAUGUCCAGAUCUGAUUCAUUUGCCCAGUUCUGAUUCAUUUCUUGUUGUUAAUUUCUUGUUGCCCACAUUCACCACUACUCUUACACUCGACGGAGCCAUCAAACAUCAAAACUCAAUAUGCAGGGUGAGUUGACUGAGCACUAUUCUCUUUUUCUAUGUAUCUCAUCUUGUCCUUUGUAUUUUUGUUUGAUUUUUUUUCACUGGCCAGAUCUGAUUCAUUUAUCCUUAUGAAGAAAGUAAAUAUGAAGUGGAGGAAGAGCUUCAAUCAGAAGCAAAUUAAAAGGAAUAGAAGUGGAGGAAGAGUGUUAAUUUAAGGAAGAUCAUGAUCACUGGUGGUCUUUGUUCUAUCUAGUUUAGGUGUUUUGUAAUUUUAAUUUUGGUUUUGUAACAUAUUGAUUGGAACAUUUGUUUUUUUCUUUGGGUUAGGUUCUUAAUUUUUUUUUUUUGGAAUUGUAAAGGAAAAGAAAUUGUAUAUUCUAUUUAGUUAAUUAAUGAAAAACUUUGUGAAAUAAUAAUAAUUUUAUGAAAUAUUCGGUUUAAUAAUUACUAAUUAUUUAAUAAUUUAAAAUUUAAAUUUAACAAAAUUAUUGUGAUUAAUGUAAGAAAAUGAAUUAAUGUGUAGGAAAGAUAAUUUGUAGGAAAUUAGAGUGAAAUAAUUCGUAGUAAAUUAGAAUGAAUAUAGUUUUCGUAGGAAAAUAAAAGGAAAUCUUUUGGAAGGAAAUUAGAAGGAAAACAUUUCCUACGCACUAUUGGAAGGAAAACGAUCAAAAAUACCUUUCGCUUUUACUACCAAUAAACCUACGAAUUUUCCUACGAAUAAACCUACGAAUUUUCCUACGGCGCGUUUUUUGUAGGAAAUUUUCCUACCAAUAUCUUACCAUCUACGAUUUCCUACGGGUGAUUUCCUAUCAUUUUUUUCGUAGAAAUAUCGUAAGAAACAGCUGUUUCCUACCAUUUUUUCACGAUAGUGUCUGUAGGAAAUCUGCGUUUUUCUUGUAGUAAUUAGUAUAAAUAGAGACCUUGGGUCAUUAAGAGAAAAAAUCGAGUUUCAUUAGGUUUUUUCUCUGUAGCCACCAAACAUUUCCAGAAACUUGUAAUCUUAAUAUCUUUUGAUCUAUUGAGUUUUUAGUGUUGCUUCUAUAUAUUUUUUUGCUCCUUAGAUCAUUAUCUAUCUAGUUAUGCAUGAUUUAGCAAUUUCUGGGUUUAUGUUCUUCAUGAUGAAUUCCAGAUCCGAGUAGUUUCUAGGUUUAGAGGAUGGGUUAGAUGAUGAGGAAUCUUACUCUCUAGGGAUGUUUAAGUAUAGAUUCAGGUAGAUACCGUGGAUUAGGAGAUUUAAUUGCUAGUCUUUGCAUUAAUCAUGUGGGAAAAGAUCCUAGACAUUCCAGCACCCAAAAAGUGUUCAACGGAAUGUCUGAUCCACUAAUGCCAGAGUCUAUUUACUUACCCAAGAGGUUGGCUGUUAAGGAGUAGAUUGACAUAAAUGAGCUUGUUCUUUAUGCCUAUCUACUGCAUGGUUCAUCAAUGAAAGUUGAGAUUAGGAAGUGCUUUAGAUUUGAUAAUCUUUGCCAAGAGAUUGGACUGAUUAUAAGUGGUUCAUUAUCUAGGAUUAGAUCUAUUUGAGCAUGUUAAACAUCCCCAAGAGAUUAAGAGGAUUCAUCACUCCAUUAGCCCAUCCUUAAGACCUUUUUUUAUCUGAUUGGUUACCUGUUUUCAUUUCUGCUUUCAAUAUUGCUUCUGUAGUUCUUGCAUUCUUAGUUUCGCUUCAGUAGUAUUCUUAGAUCCUUUAGCUUAUCUUUAGUACUGUUAUUAGAUCAUUUAGUUUAUCAUUCUGUAGUUUACUUUUAUGCAUUUGAGUUCUUAAUCCCAAAAUUUCAACUGCCUGGCUUGACUUGAUACUUAUGUUAUAUCUUGAUUAUUUACAACACACUCAUUUGGAUCGAUUAACCUCAUGUACUACAUUGCACUGGGGAAUUGAACUCCAAGACACACAAAACCCUUGUUUGACUAGGGUUAACUAUCCACCAGAAAUUUAACACUAAAAAGACUAAUGGUUCAGGAAGAAUCAUCGACCUAUCAACUGAUUCGACGAUGGUAUAUCCUGACAUACUAGCUGAAGUACUUGCUGACGGACCUGAAGUUGUACAAUACUAGAAGAAGUUAUUCAAAGAAGGUUAUCUUGUACCACGUAAUGGUGUGUAUGUACAUUUAAAUAGGAGCCUAGAAAACAUUCUAAACCAUUCAACUCUAAACCAUUCAAGAGUUGGUGCACCUCAUCUCACAUGAUCUUUUGGAGCUUAAAAUGGAUGUUUCCUUAAAUGGCUCAUUCCAAAUAUUUCAAUGGAGACCUGGAGAGUUUCCAUAUCACUUAGAGGUUUCAUUACACCCUCUAGGAUGCACCACAUCACACUUGAUCAGGAGGAUCACGUUUGAGCUCUACUUACCGUAUUUGGACCCAUUUGGCAUUAAUACACAACAGCUCCUUCCUUCUUUGUUUGUGUGCGUGUUAAACGCUCUUACUAACAUCAAGAAGCUCCCAAGACACUCAACAUAUCCACCAAAACCUUCCAGAUACAAGCCCAAUCAUAUAUCACCUCUAAAUUUCGGGUUAUAACCCUUUGUUUUUUAAUAUUUGCAUAAUUAAACCCUUGCCAUUUGAAAAUAAUAAAAUUUAAAGUAGAUUUUGUAAUUAAAUCACAAUCAAAUCGCAAAAUUGGAAACAAACAUUUAUUACAACAAUAAAAUUUCCUAAACUCUCUCUAUAAUAAAUUGAAUAUCUCUCCAAUAUAUUUAUAUAAUUUUAUUUGUUUUAAAUUUAUAUUAUUACAUAAAACAUAUGUAUAAUAAAAAUACAAUUUUUUUUUGCUGUUUAAACUUCGAAAACUGACGUAUUGUAACGCCCGUGUUCUGGAAAAUAAUAGAAGACUUGAGUUUGUAGAAGAAUUGGGGUGGAGUCUGUUUAAUUCUGGUUGAUUUACUAAGCUGGUCGAUUUGUUAAUUGAAACAUAGGUGGUUUAUUUAAUGUCGGUUUAGUUAAAUCCUCGUUUAAUCAAGUUAAACCAAAAACCCAAUUUCCUCUCUCUUUUGCUAUGUCAUUGCUUUGUUAUGAGAAAUUAGUUAGAGAAAAGCUAAAGGAGAAGUUCACUUGUGAGAAGCAGAUGUUUAGCUUUGCUUUGGUGUUUAAGGCAAAAGAAGCAUAUUCGUCACGUUUUUGGAGAAUAAAUAGACCCCUUGGGUCAUUAAGCUAAAAACGAAUUUUCAUUAGGAUUUUUCUCUGUAGCCACCAAACAUUUCCAGAAACUUGUAAUCUUUAUAUCUUUUGAUCUAUUGAAAAUUUGGAGUUGUUUCUGUACAAUAUCUUGCUCCUUAGAUCAUUAUCUAUAUAGUUAUGCAAGAUUCAAAGAUUUCUGGGUUUGUGUUCUUCAUGGUGAACUCCAGAUCUGAGUAGUCUUUCUAGGGUUUAUAGGAUGGGUUAGGUGAUGCGGAAUCUUAGUUUCUAGGGUUGCUUAAGUAUAGAUUUAGGUAGAUACCUUCUGGAUUAGGAGAUCUUAAUGCUAUCUUAGCAUUAACCAUGUGGGAUUAGAUAUUAAACAUUCCAGCACUCAAAAAGUGUUCAAAUGGAAUGUCUGAUCAACUAAUGCCAGAGAUCAAUUUACUUACCCAAGAGAUUGGUUGUUGAUGUAGCGAUUUUUACCCGAUCAAUUAAAUUAUCGAACCUCAAGAAGCAAUUAAUUAACACACCAAGAAUACACAAAUUUGCUUAAUCUAAACUUAAUAAGAGAUGAGUUUUGAUUUCUAAAUGUAACUAACAAUGCAAUUUAAAUCAAGCAAUGCAAAACAAGAUGAAAGAAAGCAAUAAUCAAAAGACUAACAAGAUUCGAAUUGAAACAAAGCCGGAAAAGAUAAUUACUAAGCAAUAAUUAAAGACGAAUCCUCGGGUUAAGGUAAUUGACUAGAAGCGAUAAGGAAGCGGAUUAUGGAGCUAACAACUUCAAACAAGCAUUAAUCCUUAGGCCAUAGACACUAAACUAGACUAAUUCAUUUCCAUGACAAUAAUCACUUUACUAAUCAAAUAAUCAUCAACUUCUUCCAAAGGCAAUUAAAUGAUCAACUAGCAUUAAUAACAAGUCUAUCUAGCCACUAAACAUCCUAAUCAACAUUUUCAAAUGGCAAGGAGUGUAAAGUACUUAAAAGUUUUGGUUCGGGAAUUUCAUCGAACACCUUCCGGGCGUGAAAUUCCUAAGCUCUAAAUCAAUAUUAACAAAGUUGAUUUAGCCUUAUUAGCAACCAAUAAGCAAGGAUCUUGGACAAUCUAAUCCUAAACUGCAUAACCCAACUCCAAAAUCCUCCUAAUCUACCUAACCCAAAGAUUCAAAAUGACUACUCACUCAUGGUCAUGAAACCACAAAGUAAUGUGUUUGAUCUUUGUGAAAUCAUGAUUAUAGAUUGUAGAUUAAGAUAAGGAAGAAAUACUUAUAUUAAAACUUCAAGUUUCAAAUACAAAAUCCAAGAAAAAACCUUAAAACAUAGCAUCAGAUCCAUAAUUUUAGGCUUUGAAACAUUUAUAUAGUAUAAGAAAUCGAUACGGGUCAACCCGAGAUGAACCGGGUCAAACCCAAACUCUUUAUAUCAACCGGUCGAUUGUAUGGUCGAUUGAAAACUUGUUUUGGCGUCUGUUUCACUCCAACCGACCUAUCAACCGACCUGUUAAUCGAUUGGAAUUCUCGAUGGCUUCUAUCUUCGUUCUAUAUGGAUAUACUCUCACUAAAUCAGUCAUAACUCAUGAACCAUAACUCUGAUUGGCCUGAAACAACCACCGUUGGAAAGAUAAUUCGAUAUUUCUAUCUCUUUUGUUCAGAGUUUCAAAGCUAAAUCACAAGUUCAAGCCUUCAUCUGAGUCGGUCUUUGAGAGACUUCGGACUGGAUCUACAUCAUCAAUCCUCCACUUUGCAUUCAAACAUGUGUCUUUAUUAUCUUAACCUAAAAUAGCUUAAAAGACACCCAAAACACACUAAAACACACUCAAAGACACUAUAUGACUUCUAAAAAGCAAGAAGACUCAUUUAGACACUAAAUGCAACAAAACACAAUGAAAAUACAAUUGAAACAUGAUAAAAAUGAUAAUAAAACCCUUAAUAGAGCUGUAAAUAUGAUGUGUAUCAGUUGUUAAGGAGUAGAUUGACAUUAAUGAGCUUGUUCUUUAUGCCUAUUUAUAGUAUGUUUCAUCAAUGAAAGUUGAGAUUAGAAAGUGCUAUAGAUCUGAUAAUCUUUGCCAAGAGAUUGGACUGAUUAGGUUAAGUGGUUCAUUGUCUAGCAUUAGAUCUAUCUGAGCAUGUUAAGCAUCCAAAAGAUACUAAGAGGAUUCAUCACCCCAUUACCCCAUUCUUUAUGCCUAUUUAUAGUAUGUUUCAUCAAUGAAAGUUGAGAUUAGGAAGUGCUAUAGAUCUGAUAAUCUUUGCCAAGAGAUUGGACUGAUUAGGUUAAGUGGUUCAUUGUCUAUGAUUAGAUCUAUCUGAGCAUGUUAAGCAUCCCAAAGAUACUAAGAGGAUUCAUCACCCCAUUAGCCCAUCCUUAUGACCAUUUGUUUAUCUGAUUGAUUAUCUGCUUUUAUUUACUGCUUUCAAUUCUGCUUCUUUAGUUUACUUUUAUGCUUUAGAGUUUAUUUAACUAACCCCUGAACUACUUGGCUUGACUUGAUUAGAUCUGUUAUAUCUUCAUUGUUUGCAAUUCAUUCAUCUGGAUCGAUACCUCUUAUGCUACAUCGCUAAGGGGAAUUAAACUCCAAGGGUAUAAAAAUACCUGUUUCAAUUUGGCGCCGCUGCCAUUUGGAUGUUAUUUGUUCCAUUUAGGAUCCCAGUUCUAUCUAGAUAGUGUUCUUUUACUUUCAAUAAUAUUUGAUUAAUUAUUUCUACCUUUGCUACUUGUCUGUCUUGCAUUUCAGGUACACUCGACCGAGCUACACUCUGCACUCGAUAAGUUUUUGAUGAACCAGCAGAAGAAUGUACACUUUGUUCAAGAGGAGGAGACCUUCCAACCUAAUGAUGGUGAUUGUGCUAAUAUUGAGAAGGUGAGCUAUAUCCAGAAUCAAGGAGGUUACCAAAAGGGUUACAACAACUAAAAACCCAACCCGAAUCUUUCUUAUAGAAGCACCAACGUCGCGAACCCCCAGGAUCAAGUCUAUCCGCCUCAACAACAACAGUUCCAGAACAAGCCAUAUGUUGGCUUUAAUAAAAAACAAGCUUUUCAACGUCAACAACAGUCCCAAGGUUCUUAUCAACAGCCUAUAUCACACCCUCCAGGAUUCCAACAGCACCCUACUAAUGUACACCCAGAACAAGAUAUUCAAACAACACUUCAUCAGCUUCUCCAAGCACAGAACAAUAGCGCCCGGAACAAGCCAUGCAGUUAGCCGAGCUUCGCAACGAGAUGCGUGAGUCUCUUUACAGGAGCUCCACCAAAAGUUCGAUUCUUUAAACAAAAGGGUAGUUAUCUUAGAAGGCAACCAACCCUCCACAUCUUCUGGCCAACUCCCAGGAAAGUCUAUCAUGAACCCUAAAGAAUUUGCUACUGCUCAUGCGAUUACUCUGGGAAAACCAUUCCCAAUUAUCACUGAAGACAAUGAGGUUCAAGAGGGGGAGGAUUCAGCCCAAAUGUGUACCCUACACGGUGAACCCGAUCGAGUCUACAACAGGCACGACCGUGCCAAUGGUGAACCCGAUCAAGUCUACCAAAGACUCGACCAAUCCGAUCAAAGGUACCAUGAACCCGAUCGAGCCCGAUAUCGUGUACGCUGCUUGUCUGACAGGUUGUGUGAAUUAAGUUCCGACGAGCCUAUUCGCCCGAUCAGAGCUACCAGCCCCAAGCCUUCAAAUCGAAGACCACUACUCUACCUUGAAGAAUCUAAGGCAGAAAUCAAGGAAGAAUAUAACCACAUUCUUGAUUCACUAUCAGGGAACGAUCAGCUGAAGGCUUUGGUGGAUGUUUUCGCCAACAUUCCCUCCUACAGGGAGAUUCUCAAAGAAGUCCUAUUGGAAAGGAUGCAGCAAAGGAAGAGUUGGAUUCCACCCUCUCAAGAUUCUGAUUUCUCCAGGAAGAUGGGGGAUCCUGGAGCUUUCACACUCCCCUGCUCAAUCCGAUCAAUGAUCUUCAACGCGUGUUUAUGCGACACAGGCGCUUCGAUUAGCUUGAUGCCCCUCUCAAUAGCUCAGCGGAUGGGCUAUACAACCUUUACACCAUGCAGCCUGACGAUUGUGAUGGCGGACAGAAGCUUUAGACAACCCGUAGGGGUAUUGGAGGAUCUCCUUGUUGAAACUGGAGGAGUAAAGAUUCCCACUGAUUUUCUGAUUCUCGAGAUGGAAAGGGAACCUUAGUAUCAACUAAUUCUAGGAAGACCAUUUCUAGCCUCAGCAGGUGCAGUUAUUGAUAUGAGAAUGGGGGUCAUGACUCUUGAUCUUGUUAGAGGGACGAGGAAGAUCAAUAUGGCGUAUCCGCACCAAAGUACAACGUUCAGAAUAGAAGAAACCUCGACCUCUUCUCCAACUUGUGUUGAGCUCCAGGAGAUCAUGACUCUCAAGAAAGACUUAAGGCGGCUAGCAACCACCAUUCAAGGAUUAACCGAGGAAAUUGUGAUGUUGAAGAAGAAGAACGACAUCUUGACUUCUACGAAAGCAAAGAAGGUAUUUACUUUCAAGAAGAGACAUGCUGCAAGGAAGAAGUAUCAGAUACAUUGGUCAUUGGCAUUGGAGAGAAUGGUUGAACCUCUCCAUUUUUCAAACACUUCGUGAGGAUUAUACCAAGUCAAGCUUAGCGACUAUAAACAAGCUCACUUGGGAGGAAGUACCAAAGGUAUCCCUGUACAUAUUUCUUUAAGUUUUUAAAAUUUGAUAAUCUUUUUAGUUUGAUGUGUUUUCAGGUUUGAAUGUGAGUGAAGAAAGGUGUUAUUGGGCCAAGAUAAGGGAAGAAGGGAGAAAGAGUAAAUUUGAUCCUUAAGCCCAAUUUCACAAGCCCAUUCGGUCGAGUCAACACCCACACAAACGGGUCAACGCGAUUCGAUCGAGUCAAUCUCGACCGUCCGAUCGAGUCAAUCUGAGCCACCCGAUCGGGUUCAUCUCAGCCGUCCGAUCGGGUCAAAGGUAACGGUCGGGUCAAUGGUCAGCUCGAUUUGAAAUUCAAAUUUUGAACCAAGCCCGACCAAAAACGCUCCUCUUUCAGAUUUUUGUCCCCUCUCACCCUCUUUAUAACAUCUAAACUCAACCAAAACCUCUCCACUCUCUCAUUUUGCUAAAAAUUCAUAUAUCUCUCUAGAAUUCUCUCUUCAUUCUCUCUAGAUUCUUGGUUGAUAGAAUUUCUGGGUUUGAUUUCAUUUGCCUCUUGUUCCUCUCAUUCCCUGGUUUGUUGAUAAACUUGCUUUCGAUUCUUCACAUUUUUUGGGUUUGUUUGUAUAAUUGAACCUUGUGUUCUUAUUUUUUGGGUUUAUUUUCAAGAUUGUUCUUAGUGUUCUUAUUUUCCGGGUUACUAACCUAUUAAAUUUGAGUUUUGAGUUUCUCAUUCCCAGAAAACAAGAAUGUCUUCAAGGAUUCCUCAACCCAGAAGGAAGAGCCUCUCAAGAUCACAACGAGAAGCUCAUCACAGCCAAUCUGCCAAAGAAAUUGCAAGAAAUUUCUUGACAAUCCAAGCCACUGGAACCGGACUCGAUCGGGUCAGAAGCGGAAGAAGAGAAGCCCGAGCACAAACCCGAUCACCCGAUCGGGCCAGUCGUGUGUAGAAAGACUUGUUGAUUAGCCCAUCCUUAAGACCAUUGUUUAUCUGAUUGUUUACCUGAUUUCAUUUCUGCUUUCAAUAUUGCUUCUGUAGUUCUUGCAUUCUUAGUUUCAUUUCAGUAGUUCUCUUUGAUCAUUUAGUUUAUCUUCAGUACUGUUCUUAGAUUUUUAAUUUAUCAUUUUGUAGUUUACUUUUCUGCAUUAGAGUUCUUUAAACCAAAAUUAUAACUGCUUGGCUUGACUUGAUUAGUUCUGCUAUAUGUUGAUUGUUUACAAUACAUCCAUUUAGAUCGAUAACCUCUUAUGCUACAUCUCAUUGGGGAAUUGAACUCCAAGAGCAAAUAAAACGCUUGUUUCUAUUUGGCGUCGCUGCCGGAUGUUAUUUGUUCCAUUUAAGAUCCCAUUUCUAUCUAGAUCAAGUUCUUUUUAUUUCGUUUCUAUUCGAUCACUGAUUUCUACCUUUGCUACUUGUCUGUUUUGCAUUUCAGGUGCACUCGACCGAGCCUCCUGCAGUUCCGAUCGAGCCUGACCACGUGUUUCUGAUCGAGCAAUCUUGCACGCACACCAGAUCCAAGGGCAACCAGCACCUACUCAAUUACCUCAACAACAUUGACCGCUUGCCUAGACAACUCUGAAAGCAACGCGUUAAAACAUCAGACAUCAACACUCAGCAAGUGGAAAUGGACCCUCCACCACGGGCACCAACACUAAACGGAGCCGGUGAUGCCCCACGAAACCACACAACUCGACAAGGGAUAGUCCCUCAAGCAGUCCAGAAAACCAACUUCGAGAUAAAGAGUAGCCUCAUUUCAAUGAUACAGGGAAAUAAAUUACAUGGAUUAUCAAUGGAAGACCCUCUCGAUCACCUCGAUGAGUUCGAUCGAAUGUGUGGCUUAACAAAAAUAUACGGUGUGAGCGAAGACGGGUUCAAGCUCCGAUUGUUCCCUUUCUCCCUUGGCGAUAAAGCUCAUUAAUGGGAGAAGUAAUUGCCCGCUGGAUCAAACACAACUUGUGAGGAGUGCAAGAAAGCAUUCUUGUCCAAGUUCUUCUCCAAUGCACGAACCGCACGAACCGCACGAUUGAGGAACAACAUCUCUAGCUUUGCUCAGCGCAACAACGAAACCUUCUAUGAAGCAUGUGAGAGAUUCAAAAGCUAUUAGUCAUAAUGUCCUCACAACGGUUUCAGCAACGAGUCGCUGCUUAGUACUCUCUACCGAGGAAUACUACCCAAGUUUCGCCUAUUUCUCGAUACGGCCAGCAAUGGAAAUUUUCUAAACAAGGAUGUUGAAGCUGGCUGGGAACUCGUGGAGAUUCUAGCUCAGUCCGAUGGAACGUACAAUGAGGACUAUGAGAGAACCGUUCGGGGAAACACAGAACAAGAGGACAAGUAUAAGAAGGAUAUGAAGGCACUAAACGACAAGCUCGAUAAAUUUAUGAUGAACCAGCAGAAGAGUGAUAACUUUGUUCAAGAGGAGGAGACCUUUAUCCAUCAUGAUGGUGAUUGCGAAAAUAAUGAGGAGGUAAGCUAUAUCCAGAAUCAAGGAGGUUACCAAAAGGGUUACAACAACUAUAAACCCUACCCGAAUCUUUCUUAUAGAAGCACCAACGUUGCAAACCCUCAAGAUCAAGUCCAUCCACCUCAACAACAACAAUUCCAGAACAAGCCAUUUGUUGGCUUUAAUCAAAAACAAGGGAAUGUAAAUGAUAAUUGACCUUUCGUAAGAAGCUUUUGAGCAUGCAAAUCUUCCAGAUUCAUUUAACGAUAUCAAAAAUAUUAUCUGUAAGUUAGGAAUGAACUGUGAGUCUAUUUACGUAUGGGAGAUUCCACUUAUAUUUACUUCAAUUCACUUAAAGCAAAAUGUCUAUUGAUAGCGACGGAAAGAUGUUGUAAUAGGUAGAUUAUAGCAUUUUCAGUAAUGUUUUGAUAGGUGUUAUACAUAGAAUAGUGUUAUAUUCAUGUGCUACAAUAGGUGGGAUACAACAGCGAAAUUUUAGUGCGAAUAUAUAAUUUUUUUAUUUUGUUUUAGAAAUUUAUAGAAAUUCAUUUUAUUUGCUAUAGUUGGUCAAACAACAAUAAAAUUUUGCAACGCUAUAUUAAAUUUGUUGAUGGUUAAAUUUCAAAGCUAUUGUUUUAGAUCAUUACGUAUUUUGUUUGCUAUGAUAAAUAUUUUCAUAAUGCUAUCUAUUGUUAUAUUUUAAACAUGUUUUCAAUAAUAAAAAUACAUUUACAUUUCAAAAGCAACAUAUUUAUUCAACUUAAGAAGCUUCAAAUAUAGAUAAUACAAGUCUCAAUCUAAAAGACAUUAAGUAUACUUGAUAAAAGUCUUAAUAUAAAAUAGAUUAGUUAGUUAAGAGUCUAGGCAAAUUAUUCAAACUCGCUAACCUUGACCAAUGUGUCUUCAUUCCCUAUAAUAUUAAAAAUUACCUACAUAUAUUUGGAAACCACUACGAGAUGUAAAUCAAAUCACAAACAACACAAUGAUUACACCACUUACCAAUUUCUUUUGGUAUAUAAGGCUGCCAAUUUUAUUCAUUUGCUAAGCAAUAGAUGAACCAAGUGCAUCUUUUAGAUACUCGAUUUCAUCUUAUGGCCUCCACACUGCUGCAUCAUCUACCAUCACUAUGUCCACCCAAACUCUAACUGCAUUAGACCCUAAGCGAGUGAAAUGGACCAUUUGCUCUGGGUUUAGUGAAUGCUGACGCCCUUUAAAAACUACCUGCUUCUUUCCACCAAUAUCCAGCAACUUGACUUUCCUUUUUUCUUUGAUAACUCAAUCAACAUGUUAGGCUGCCAUGUUCAGAGAAGUUUACCACUUAAUAUAGACAAAGUUAAAAGAUCCAUAUUCUGAAAAUCACAGGCAAACAAUUACCAGAAAUCUCCAAGUANNNNNNNNNNNNNNNNNNNNNNNNNNNNNNNNNNNNNNNNNNNNNNNNNNNNNNNNNNNNNNNNNNNNNNNNNNNNNNNNNNNNNNNNNNNNNNNNNNNNUUUUUGAUAAAUUAGCUUUUUAACUGGAGACUUCAUACUUGUGGUCGUAUCGGUCUCACCACGAGAUUCGGAAAUAGAGGCUGCGAAUGUUGUACCUACUACUGUAUAUAUCACAAUUUGAGAUUUGGAAAUAGUACCUACUGAUUUUGCUCAUGCUGAUUGAUCAUUUGUUGUAUAUAUGGUGUCGACAAAUAAACCUUUAGCUACUGGCCAUGCUACAAAAUAUUAAGUCAAUCAUCUAGUUAUGUCACAUAAAUUGUUAGCCUUCAUAUAAAUAGUAUCCGGCAUGUGUACGACAUCUAUAAAAUCUUUAACUGCCUUUGGUCCUAGGUGCAGUCCAUUAACCAAUGCCUUGCGGUUUUGUGUUUUCCACCGUACCUCAAAAACAACUAUAACACCAUUAGACAAAGCGAGUAGCUUGCAUUCUCCCUAUUAAAUCAUAUUCAAACAAGAAAUUGUAGGUGUUAAUGGUAUAUAAAUCUCAGUAAUUAUUUAUGUUGAAAAUUCAUAUACUAUAACAAGAGAACUGUGAGAAGUUUCGGAAAAUGGAAGGUUUAUUGUGAUUUUAGGUUUUGUGACUCUGACAAAAGAAAAGUAAUGGAGAGACUUAAAAAGGAGAAAAAGUUAAUAAAGAGUACUUUUGUGAUUGGUUAAUUAGCCGGUGGUGUUAUUAUUUAUCAAAUGUUCAAAAGUAUUUUCAAAUUCUUUCUUCUAAUUGGCCAGAGCUAUAUACCAAUCACUAUAGCCUAGGGCUUAAUACUAAUAAUUACUUUUUAUCAGGUUUUUGAAUUAAUAGAUUUUUAUCGGGUAAAUGAAUGAUUUUGCACACACAAAGCAAAAAAGAUAAAAAUAAAAUAAAAGGGUUAAUCAAUCGUAUCUUACCCUUUUAAAUUAAUUGAAUUUGAAUUUAAACCUGAAAUAGGUAAAGUUGGAAGGUGUUCUUUUGAGGGAAAUUGGCCAUUUCAUACCUAACCUAAACAUGAAUGUACAAUUCAUACCUAACAUUUUUUUAUCUGUCAUUAUAUACCCGAAUGUUAGGUAUGAAUUGAAUACUCAUAAUUAUGAAGUGUAUUAAAUGUUUAAUUUCCCGUUUUUUUGUAGGAAAGUUUAAUGAACCAUUUGAAGAAAAACGAAGUGGAAAAAAUUAGUAGGAAACUUGAAUGAAUACAUUAUAUGUAGAAAAAUUGAAGGCGAUCAUUUGAUUGGAAGUUAAAAAGAACAUGUUUCCUAUAACAAAUUUUACAAAAAUGGUCCAAAAUACCCUUCUACGUUUGUACCACCAUCAAAUUCUUACCAUAUAUAUUUCAAACGGGUGAUAUCCUACCAUCUUCUGUAGGAAAAUGGAAAAAAAUGGUUUUUUUUACAAUUUUGUUAUGCUUUUGUUCGUAGGAAAUCGGUCAAUUUCUUGUAGUUAUAUAUGUGAAAUAUGGUCAAAACUGAUAUUUGGUUUACUUUAUUCAUAGACUUAUUAUAAAAUGGACAAGUAUUGGAUUACAAAGCAUCGUUUAUCUGGAGAUUAAAUGAGUCGAAUUAAAGAUUGUUUGGAUUUUGCAUUUGGUGAUAUUAAGAAAGAGAUGAUUAAAUUUCCUUGUUAGAGUUGCUGCCUAGUUAUUGAGGUUGAGGGUCAAGGUUUUCUACCAAUAUAUACAAGUUUGUAGAUACAUGAAGAACAUUUAGAUUUCCAUGAAGAGACCAUCCGAUUAGAAUCUGAAUCCAAUGUAGAUACUGAUGGAAAAAAAAAUCUACUUUGAGAUGCUUUUCCAAGUAUGGAUAAUAGUUUUAAUAAAUCUGCUAGUAUGCCUACAUAUCAAUCAAAACAAAAUGAAGCAUUUGAUGAUUUGUUAGCCGACGAUAAUCAAGUUUUUUAUGAAAGUUGUCAAGGGUCUAACAAAUUAUCAUUUAUUGUUAAGAUAUAUCACAUCAAAUGAAUGUCUAGGAUAAGAGACAAGGGAAUGUCAAUGAUAAUUGACCUUUCGUUAGAAGCUUUUGAGUAUGCAAAUCUUCCAGAUUCAUUUAACGAUAUGAAAAAGAUUAUCUAUAAGUUAGGAUUGAACUAUGAGUCUAUUCACGUGUGUGAGAUUCCACUUAUAUUUCCUUCAGUUCACUUUAAGAAAAAUGUGUAUUGAAAGCAACAGAAAGAUGAUGUAAUAGGUAUAUUAGAGCGUUUUCAGUAAUCUUUUGGUAGUUGUUAUACAUACAAUAGCGUUAUAUUCAUGUUCUACGAUAGGUGGGAUACAACAGCGAAGUUUUAGUGCGAAUAUAUAAUAUUUUCGUUUUAUUUUAGAAUUUUAUAAAAAUUCAUUUUAUGUGCUAUAUUUGGUCAAACGACGACAAAAUUUUGCAACGCUAUAUUAAAUUUGUUGAUGGUUAAAUUUCAAAGCUAUUGUUUUAGAUCAUUACGUAUUUUGUUUGCUAUGAUAAAUAUUUUCAUAAUGCUAUCUAUUGUUAUAUUUUAAACAUGUUUUCAAUAAUAAAAAUACAUUUACAUUUCAAAAGCAACAUAUUUAUUCAACUUAAGAAGCUUCAAAUAUAUUGAUACAAGUCUCAAUCUAAAAGACAUUAAGUAUACUUGAUAAAAGUCUUAAUAUAAAAUAGAUUAGUUAGUUAAGAGUCUAGGCAAAUUAUUCAAACUCGCUAACCUUGACCAAUGUGUCUUCAUUCCCUAUAAUAAUAAAAAUUACCUACAUAUAUUUGGAAACCACUACGAGAUGUAAAUCAAAUCACAAACAACACAAUGAUUACACCACUUACCAAUUUCUUUUGGUAUAUAAGGCUGCCAAUUUUAUUCAUUUGCUAAGCAAUAGAUGAACCAAGUGCAUCUUUUAGAUACUCGAUUUCAUCUUAUGGCCUCCACACUACUGCAUCAUCUACCAUCACUAUGUCCACCCAAACUCUAGCUGCAUUAGACCCUAAGCGAGUGAAAUGGACCAUUUGCUCUGGGUUUAGUGAAUCCUGACGCCCUUUAGAAACUACCUGCUUCUUUCCACCAAUAUCCAGCAACUUGACUUUCCUUUUUUCUUUGAUAACUCAAUCAACAUGUUAGGCUGCCAUGUUCAGAGAAGUUUACCACUUAAUAUAGACAAAGUUAAAAGAUCCAUAUUCUGAAAAUCACAGGCAAACAAUUACCAGAAAUCUCCAAGUAUGUUUUUGAUAAAUUAGCUUUUUAACUGGAGACUUCAUACUUGUGGUCGUAUCGGUCUCACCACGAGAUUCGGAAAUAGAGGCUGCGAAUGUUGUACCUACUACUGUAUAUAUCACAAUUUGAGAUUUGGAAAUAGUACCUACUGAUUUUGCUCAUGCUGAUUGAUCAUUUGUUGUAUAUAUGGUGUCGACAAAUAAACCUUUAGCUACUGGCCAUGCUACAAAAUAUUAAGUCAAUCAUCUAGUUAUGUCACAUAAAUUGUUAGCCUUCAUAUAAAUAGUAUGCGGCAUGUGUACGACAUCUAUAAAAUCUUUAACUGCCUUUGGUCUUAGGUGCAGUCCAUUAACCAAUGCCUUGCGGUUUUGNNNNNNNNNNNNNNNNNNNNNNNNNNNNNNNNNNNNNNNNNNNNNNNNNNNNNNNNNNNNNNNNNNNNNNNNNNNNNNNNNNNNNNNNNNNNNNNNNNNNAAAGCGAGUAGCUUGCAUUCUCCCUAUUAAAUCAUAUUCAAACAAGAAAUUGUAGGUGUUAAUGGUAUAUAAAUCUCAGUAAUUAUUUAUGUUGAAAAUUCAUAUACUAUAACAAGAGAACUGUGAAAAUUCAUAUUGUGAUUUUAGGUUUUGUGACUCUGACAAAAGAAAAGUAACGGAGAGACUUAAAAAGGAGAAAAAAGUUAAUAAAGAGUACUUUUGUGAUUGGUUAAUUAGCCGGUGGUGUUAUUAUUUAUCAAAUGUUCAAAAGUAUUUUCAAAUUCUUUCUUCUAAUUGGCCAGAGCUAUAUACCAAUCACUAUAGCCUAGGGCUUAAUACUAAUAAUUACUUUUUAUCAGGUUUUUGAAUUAAUAGAUUUUUAUCGGGUAAAUGAAUGAUUUUGCACACACAAAGCAAAAAAGAUAAAAAUAAAAUAAAAGGGUUAAUCAAUCGUAUCUUACCCUUUUAAAUUAAUUGAAUUUGAAUUUAAACCUGAAAUAGGUAAAGUUGGAAGGUGUUCUUCUGAGGGAAAUUGGCCAUUUCAUACCUAACCUAAACAUGAAUGUACAAUUCAUACCUAACAUUUUUUUAUCUGUCAUUAUAUACCCGAAUGUUAUGUAUGAAUUGAAUACUCAUAAUUAUGAAGUGUAUUAAAUGUUUAAUUUUCCGUUUUUUUGUAGGAAAGUUUAAUGAAACAUUUGAAGGAAAACGAAGUGUAAAAAAUUAGUAGGAAACUUGAAUGAAUACAUUAUAUGUAGAAAAGUUGAAGGCGAUCAUUUGAUUGGAAGUUAAAAAGAACAUGUUUCCUAUAACAAAUUUUACGAAAAUGGUCCAAAAUACCCUUCUACGUUUGUACCACCACCAAAUUCUUACCAUAUAUAUUUCAAACGGGUGAUAUCCUACCAUCUUCUGUAGGAAAAUGGAAAGAAAUGGUUUUUUCUACAAUUUUGUUAUGAUUUUGUUCGUAGGAAAUCGGUCAAUUUCUUGUAGUUAUAUAUGUGAAAUAUGGUCAAAACUGAUAUUUGGUUUACUUUAUUCAUAAACUUAUUAUAAAAUGGACAAGUCUUGGAUUACAAAGCAUCGUUUAUCUGGAGAUUAAAUGAGUCGAAUUAAAGAUUGUUUGGAUUUUGCAUUUGGUGAUAUUAAGAAAGAGAUGAUUAAAUUUCCUUGCUAGAGUUGCUGCCUAGUUAUUGAGGUUGAGGGUCAAGGUUUUCUACCAAUAUAUACAAGUUUGUAGAUACAUGAAGAACAUUUAGAUUUCCAUGAAGAGACCAUCCGAUUAGAAUGAUCGAUGUUUGUAAUGGAAAGAUUAACCUGAAUCUUGGGAAGGACAUAACUAUGAAUUUCGACACAAAGAGCACAAUGAGAAACCCAACCAUCAAUGGGCAUGCCUUCAUAAUGGAGGAAACGGAUCCACUAAAUAGUGAAUUUAUGGAAGAAUUGACGGAAGAAGAUCAUUUGAAGACUGCUCUCACGAAAGGCAAUACUGACAAUUUCUUGUAUAAAGAGACAUCAAGCUAUAGUGAUGGCUUAGAUUUUUACAAAGUUGCUGACCACGCAGAACCAUGUGAAGAGCUACCCAGAGCGGGAAGAUUAGACAAGACGAUCUACAAGGUUGAGUCAUCUGAGUUGUUAAUGGAGAAUCAGAACCGACCAAACCAAGACUCGAUCGAGUCACCUCAACCAAAUCAGACCCGUCCGAGUAACGAUCCAGUCGAGCCUGUAAGCUCGAUCCAGCCAUUGGUAAGCCCGAGCGGAUUACGUUCGAUCCGAUCGGAUGACUGAUCCGAGCUCAAUGCACCAAAAGUUGAACUCAAACCUCUUCCCGCUGGGCUCAGGUAUGCCUUCCUCGGUCCUAACUCUACAUACCCUGUUAUAGUUAAUGCUAGCCUGAGUAACAAUGAAUUAGACUUGCUAGUACAAGAGCUUAAGAAGUAUAGGAGGGCCAUAGGAUAUUCUUUAGAUGACAUCAAAGGAAUUUCCCCCAGUUUGUGCAUGCAUAGGAUCAGUUGAUAAAAUGAAUCUUAUACCAGCAUAGAACCUCAGAGAAGGUUGAACCCUAAUCUAAAGGAAGUUGUCAAGAAGGAAAUUCUGAAAUAUCUUGAUGUUGAUAACCCUAUAUUUUUAUUCUCUACUUCUUAGGAUUUCUAGUUUCUUUGCAUUAUAUUUUGCAUCUAGGAUCUUUACCAUAGGGAUUUGCAUAUCAUCUGCAUUUUAGAGCAAAAACACAUACACUCGGACACCGCAAAGCAUGGACCAGAUCGAGUGUGUCCAACCCGACCAAGCGAGCACGAUCGAGCACCCAGACUCACAAGAGGAAGAUGAACACGGACGAGCCGAGAGAGGACCCGACCGAGCCCAACAAGCACCCGACCGAGCUCUCUUUCAACCGACUUUGUAAUUUGUUUUUUUGUGUUUUAGAGUUUCCUGCCUUUAGUAUAAAUAGACCUCUUAGGUCAUUAAGCCAAAAACGAGUUCUAAUUAGGGUUUUUCUCUGUAGCCAUCAAACAUUUCUAGAAACUUGUAAUCUUUAUAUAUUUUGAUCUAUUGAGAAUUUGGAGUUGUUUCUUUACAAUAUCUUGCUCUUUAGAUCAUUAUCUAUCUAGUUAUGGAAGAUUCAAAGAAUUCUGGGUUUUUGUUCUUCAUGAUGAACUCUUGAUCUAAGUAGUUUUUCUAGGGUUUAGAGGAUGGUUAGGUGAUGAGGAAUCUUAGUUUCUAGGGUUGCUUAAGUAUAGAUUUAGGUAGAUACCUUCUGGAUUAGGAGAUCUUAAUGCUAUCUUAGCAUUAACCAUGUGGGAUUAGAUCUUAAACAUUCCAACACUCAAAAAGUGUUCAAAUGGAAUGUCUGAUCAACUAAUGCCAGAGAUCUAUUUACUUACCCAAGAGAUUGGUUGUUAAGGAGAAGAUUGACAUUAAUGAGCUUGUUCUUUAUGCCUAUUUAUAGUAUGUUUCAUCAAUGAAAGUUGAGAUUAAGAAGUGCUAUAGAUCUGAUAAUCUUUGCCAAGAGAUUGGACUGAUUAGGUUAAGUGGUUCAUUGUCUACGAUUAGAUCUAUCUGAGCAUGUUAAGCAUCUCAAAGAUACUAAGAGGAUUCAUCACCCCAUUAGCCCAUCCUUAAGACCCUUUGUCUAUCUUAUUGAUUACCUGCUUUUACUUAUUGCUUUCAAUAUUGCUUCUUUAGUUUACUUUAAUGCAUUAUAGUUCUUUAAACCAAACUUUGAAUUACUUGGCUUGACUUGAUUAGAUCUACUAUAUCUUGAUUGUUUACAAUACAUCAAUUUGGAUCGAUACCUCUUAUGCUACAUCACAUUGGGGAAUUGAACUCCAAGAGUACAAAAAUACCUGUUUCAGAGAUUCAAGGGAUAUCAAUCACAAUGCCCCCAUCACGGGCUCAAUAGCGAAUCCCUACUCAUUACACUCUAUAGAGGGGUCUUACCUAAGUUUCAGAUGCUUCUUGAUACAACUUGUAAUGGAAAAUUUCUCAACAAGGAUGUUCAAGAUGGUUAGGAACUUGUCAAGAACCUAGCGCAGUCUGAUGGUACAUACAAUGAAAACUAUGAUAGGAUUGUUCGGGGAAACACAUAUUUAGAGGAGAAGUAUAAGAAAGACAUGAACACAACAAAAUAACUUGAUAGAAUCUUGCUUGGUCAGUCCAAGAGUGUUCACUUCGUCACGGAGGAGGAGCAUUUUCAACCACAAGAAGGAGAUUGUGCUACAACAUAGGAAGUUAGCUAUGUGCAAAACCAUGGUGGUUAUCAAAAAGGCUUCAACAAAUAUAAGCCAAAUCCAAACCUCUACUAUAGAAGCACUAAUGUAGCUAACCCAGAAGAUCAAGUGUAUCCACCUCAACAAAAGCAAUUCCAAUACAGAAACUAUGCUUCUGGACCUAUGACCCAAGGAUUCAUUCCUAAACGGCAAAAUCAAGGAGGCUAUCAGCAGCCUAUGGCACCACCUCCUGGAUUUUAACAGCAAUUUACCCAAGUACCUCUAGAACAGGACUUCCAAAGUAUGCUUCAUGAUUCUCCAAGGACAGGCCAAAAACAAUCUUUAGAAUGCUAAGAAGAUGGCUGAGCUUCGUAAUCAUAUUGCUACUUCCUAUAAUGACUUAAACCAGAAGUUUGACGCUUUGAGCAAUAAGGUUUCACAAAUAGAAGGAAACCAGACCUCAACUUCUUCAGGACAGCUACCAGGCAAGUUUGUCAUGAACCCAAAGGAAUUUGUCACUGCCAAUGCAAUUACNNNNNNNNNNNNNNNNNNNNNNNNNNNNNNNNNNNNNNNNNNNNNNNNNNNNNNNNNNNNNNNNNNNNNNNNNNNNNNNNNNNNNNNNNNNNNNNNNNNNGCAGCAAGUAUUGGUUAUGAAUCCCCACCUUCAAACCGCUCUUCGUACUUUGAAUUUACUUGAGGCCAAGUAAAGAAUAAGUGUGGGAGAGUUGAUAACUCUAUAUUUUCACAUUCUUAAGCACGUUUUUUAUGCAUAGUUUGCAUAAUUUAAGUCAUAUUUCUUAGAAUUUUUAGUCUCUUUUCCUUCAUAUUGCAUUUGUAGGAGUUUUAGCAUAGACAUUUGUAUACUUUUGCAUUUUGGAGUUAAAACAGGUACUCUCGUGACAUUUAUGAACAUUCGAGCAUCUGGACCCGAUCGAAUGGACUGGACCUGAACAAGGUGGACACGAUCAAGAAAUCUAGCGGAGUGAAGAACCAGAUUUGCAACUAAGGCAAUGGACUCGACCAAGCAUCAGAGAAGGACCCGAAUGAGCCUAACCUGCACCCGAUCGAGCCCAUUUGCAACCGACCUUUUAUUUUGUCUCUAGUGAACUAGGGCUUCUCUAGUUUCUCGAGUUUUCAUUAAGGUUUAAUGGUUUAGCCACCAAAUUUCUAGAAACUUAUAAUCUUAAAAUCUCUUGAUCUAUUGAGUUUUUGCUGUUGUUUCUUUAUAUUAUCUUGCUGCUUAGAUCAUUAUCUUUCUCAUUAUGCAUGAUUCAGAGAUUUCUGAGUUUGUUUUCUUGAUGAUGAACUCCAUAUCUAAAUGAUGAACUCCAUAUCUGAGUAUUUUUAUAGGGUUUUGAGGAUGGGAUAGGUUAGUGAGGAAUCUUACUCUCUAGGGGUGUUUAAGCUUUGAUUUCAAUAGAUCCUUUCUGGAUUAUAGAUUCAAUAGCUAGUUUUUGCAUUAACCAUGUGGGAUUGAAUCUUAGACAUUUCAGCACCCAAAAGGUGUUUGAUGAAAUGUCUGAUCCACUAAUGCCAGAGAUCUAGGUUCUUACCUAAGAGAUUAGUUGUUUAAGGAGUUUUUUGACAUUAAUGAGCUUGAUCUUUUAUGCCUAUCUAUUGCAUGUUUCAUCAAUGAUAAUUGAGAUUAGGAAGUGCUUUAAAUUUGAUAAUCGAUGCCAAGAGAUUAGACUGAUUAGGUUAAGUGGUUCAUUUUCUUGGAUUAGAUCUUUUUUAGCAUGUUAAGCAUUUCAAUGAGAUUAAGAGGAUUCAUUAGCCAAUUAACCCCAUCCUUCAGACCAUUAUUCAUCUAAUUUUUUACUUGCUUUCCAUGUCUGCUUUAAUUCUGCUUCUAUAGUUCUUGAAUGCUUAGCUUGUCUUUAGUAUUGUUCUCAGAUCCUUAGUUUUAUUCUGUCAUUUACUUCUAUGCAUUUGUAUUGAUGAUCCAAACUGUUGCAUCAUACUUGUUUACAUCACACCCAAAUUGGAUCGAUAAACCUUUUGUACUCAUUGCACUAGGGAGAUUGAACUACAAAAGAUUAUCAAAAUCCUUAUUUCAUACUUUUAGGAUAUGCUAAUUUGUUGUUUUCUUCUUUCCUUUAAACAUUAACCUCAUCUUCAUGACCCUCUAAUUCAUCUAAUACAUAUUUACAAGGCCUACCAUCAUCACCUGAACUUGCUCCAUCUGGAUCCUCACAGCAAUCGAACUUGACGUUAUCUUCUUCAUCUCCAUCAUCAUCUUCUUCCUCAUCCUCUUCAAUAAUUGGCUAUUUUUGGGCCCCCUUCCCCUUCAAAUAGUCGCCAUCAUUCCUCUAUCUUCUUUUCACUACAGGUUCAGUUUCCUCAGCUGAUUUCGAUGAAAUACUUACCACUAAAUCAUCAAAUUUCACACACAAACGUCUCACAGACUAGGUUUACACUGCCUAAGAAAACCUUUGAAACUAUUGCCCCUUACAAACAAAUACAUGGGGCGUAUCUCCAGGUAAAUGAUACAUGGCUCUUCUUGGUCGAUAAUUUGUAAGAUAGAUGGACCUGAUAGAGACUUCUAUCCACGCCGAAGUCUUCCUAAACCAUUUCAAGAAACUCCUCAUACGACACUUUUCUAGUAGCAGAUAAGACUCUGCUACCUCUUUUAUCAUCAACUAUAAAUACCCAUCGUUUUUGCCAAAAUUUCCACUUCCCACGAACAAAUGGAAUAUCCUCUAUUAAUCCCCAACUAGUUUCUCUAACUACUUUGAUUUCUUUUGAAUUAUGGUGUUGAACAUUCAAACACAAUACAGGGCUGCGCUACAACGAAGAAGAAAGAGGUUUGCUUCCGUAAAUGCAACAAAACUUGAAGGUAAAACCGGAAUUUUGGGUGAACGUUCGCCCUUACAAAAUCCUAGAUACGUAUAACUCUACCAAGGAAAUCUACCAACGUUGUCAUAGAGUAACUAAUGAUAGAGUUACUUAAAACUAGUUACUCUAUCAUAAAACUUUAUCUCUACCUUACUUUUGCUAACUUGGGCAUAUUAACUGUUGUAACUAAAUGAAAACUCUAUUUUUAUUAUGAACUCUUUCAUAAGGACAAACCUGCCAUAAAACAUUUUGUUUCUCUCCUAUCCAUAUUGGUUUGAAACCACUAUUUAUGUGAUACUCUCGAACUUCUCCCAAAAUGUUUUUUGUUAAAAAGAAAUGAUACUUAUAUAUAGAUGAAGGAAUAUUUGUCUUGAAAGAAUCAAAAAUAAAACAUUAUAGUGUUCUUGCAAAUAAUAUGAUAUUAUAUACAUAUUUAAAAACAAUUAAUAUAAUUAUACCGGCGCUAAACAACCUAAUCCUAUAUAUAAUAACACAGUUUUCUCUCAUUUGAGAGUGUCCAACUCAACAUAUAUAUAGUUAAUCAGUGGUUCUAACUAAUGGUUAUAUAUAUAUAUAUAUAUUUAUUUAUUUAUUUCUAGCCCACAUGUGUAUAGCCCACAAUUUGAUUAAAUUAUAUAGAUCUAAUAUAUAUUGAAUGCUCACCUUUUCAUUUUUGUAUUAAAAUUAAAGCCCGAAAAUAAACUAAGCCCAUUGUCCAAUUUAAAUAUAAGCCCAACAAAAAUAAAGUCAACAUCUCAUCUUUGUAUCCUCUUUCAUCUUCUCAAUUUCGCUGAACAACGGUGACAGCGGUGGAGAUUCACACAUAAGAAGAUAAGUCAUCAACAAUUAUUUUACAACUAAGAUUCAUAAACUCAUGUAUUCAAUCCGUAUUUAUGCUCCACUACUUCACCUUCAAAUCAUGUUAUUGGGAUGAAACAAAAUGAAUUUAAAUUUCACGCCAACGAAACGAAACCUAAAAUAAAUCAAUCCACCGUAUGUCUUUUAAUCUUCCUAUAAACUACUAAAAUUGAUCACUGGAAAGAUCCAACCCGUUUUUUGUUUUUUAUGUAACCAGAUUAACCCAAUUAAUUCAAACUAAGUAAACCAGCUAAAUCAGACUAAACCAAUUUAACCAAUUUAAACCAGCUAAACCAGACUAAAUCAAUUUAAACCAACUAAACCAGAUUAAUCCAAUUUAAAUCAUCCAAUUUCAAUUUAAACCGGUUAACUAGCAAUUCCAAUUAAACCAAACCAUAACCACUAAAACCAUCGGAAGACAUUAAACCUAACAAUCCAGCAAACCAAAUGCAUUAACCAUCUAUCCAACAAAACAUUCAAGGAAAAUAAAAUAAUCAACCUAUCAUGUUUCUAAAUUCCAGAACUAGCAAUUCCUAAACAAUUCAUAAGAUUAUUCAAACAACCAGCGAGCCCCUAGAUCAUCUCUCUGUCCUCUCCAUGAUUCCACUGUUACAGCUUUCUUUUACCUGCAUCACUGAAAAAGAUGCGUAAGUAUUUCCAGAAAUACUUAGUGAGGCGAUCCUCCCAUCUACGAGCUAUACACACAAGCAAUGAGAUAACAACCACAUAUAUAACAUAAACAAACCAUCUAACAAGCUAAACAUCCAAUAACACUUCCAAUUAACCUAUAAAUCAUCACAAACAAGUCACUUAAUCCCAGUUGCUAAGAUAAGCUCAUGUUCAUGCACUCACCUUAACAAGGUCAUUUGAAUAACAAAUACAACCAGGAAAGACUCUCCUCGCGACUGCAACAGCUAAACAACGCCCUACAAGAAUCCAUACAAACAAAAAUCUCUAUUAACCAAAAUUGACAUAAAUAGCAGAAACACUACAACCACAGAAACGAAACCCUAAAUUAGAAACCAACUGUUAACUUCUGAAUCCCUUUGCUGGAAAGCACGACCUAGACGUCACGAAGUUUCCCACAAAAUUUGGUGUCGAUCAAAUAAACGAUGAAACCACGAUCGCACAUACAAACUCCGCUGAUCUCAGUUCGCAACAGAGAAGAAGUGUCUCACCAAACUUUCGAUAAGAUUUGAUACGUCAUAAAACUACUCUACCAAAAUGUGACGGAGUCUGCUACUUUUGCCUUAUACACGAAACCAAAGCUAACCCUUUCCUUCUCACAAGUGAACUUCUCCUUCUCUUUUUCUCAAACUAAAAUCUCAAAAACAAACAUCGACAAAACAAAAGAGAGAAGAGGCAUACUUUAUAAAACUAGGGUUUUUGGUUUAAUCUGAUUAAACCUGGAUUUACCUAAACCGACAUUAAUUAUACAUCUUUUGAUUCAAUUAACAAAUCGACCAGUUUAGUAAAAUCAACCAGAAUUAAACCGACUCCACCCUAAUUCUUAUACAAACUCAAGUCUUCUAUUAUUUUCCAGAACACGGGCGUUACAAUCACCUCACACCACCUAUAAACAGAAAUACUUCCAUCUUUAGUAAAAUAUACGAUUCACUUUCACUUAAAUGUUGUUGUAAUUUCUGCCAAAGCAAACUAUGUUAGUUUUGAUGGCUUACGUAUUUGCCGUUCUCCUCAACACGUUGUUGGUCGAUUCUUUCGUUUUUGGAGGGAAAGUAAUCAGAAAAAAAAACUCAAAUGAUAAAUCCAAUUAAUCUAUGUCUCAAAAAUNNNNNNNNNNNNNNNNNNNNNNNNNNNNNNNNNNNNNNNNNNNNNNNNNNNNNNNNNNNNNNNNNNNNNNNNNNNNNNNNNNNNNNNNNNNNNNNNNNNNAAAAAAAGGGACACUUACUUUGAUAAUACACAAUUUAGGCGAAUUGACUAGAUAUAUACUAAUCAUUUUUUUAUUACUAGCAUAUUUAGGGUCUAUUUUCUAUUCACAGUGUAACCUUGUUACACGUUAGUGGAAAAACUUAAUUAUGAAGAAUUUCAUUGCCAUAACAGAGCAAACGCAUCGCCAAUUCAGAAAUCUUGCUCAUGUAUUAAUUAACUCAGCCGUAACGCUCUAAAGUGUUAGUUACAGCUGAGUUACGUUAUGUUGCGGCUGAUUUAAGGAAAACGGCUGAGUUAUGAGUGAACGGCUGAAUUAUGAGCAUAACACAGUCAAUAGUUACGGUUGACUUAAUAAAAUCUGGCAGGGUUAUGAGCGAACGACUGACUUACGAGCAAAGCCCAACCUUUUUUUAUGGCUGAAUUUUGACACGAUGGUUGUUUUGUUAAAAAUUUGGCUGAGUUAUUGAUUCAACACAGCUGAAUUAUGUUUCUCUGGCAUGCUGAGUUAUCGACGGCUGACUUAUGGGAUGCCGUUGUGGCUGACUUAUGUUUCAGAGUCAUAAAGUCAGCCAUAAUGAGCUAGUUUAACGGAUAAUUCGGCCUUGUUACGGCUGACUUAUUAGCAAAAGAUUAAUUACUAUAAUAUUAUGCAGUUACGGCUGACUUAUUAAACGAUACGACUUAGUUAAAGAUUUACAUUUCAACUGAAUUUGGGAGCCUUUUUUUCUUUUUUUUGAAAAUUACUGUAGUAGUAUUCAUGAUGCGGUUGAAUUAAAGAUUUGUUGUAUGGCUAAUUUAAUUUGGGUGAGUUACAUGUUCGUUUGGUGGUAGACAUGCCACUUCAUCAAUUCAAAAUGACUUUAAAUGCAUCAUUCCAUGUCAUCAUCAGCAAAGGAAAUACGAAACGUCGUCUUCAACAUUUUUGUAUUCAUCGUUGUUGUUCUUCACCUUGUUCUUCACACCAACACAAAUAUCGAUACCUCAAAUUUUGAACAUCCAUUUCGUCAUCGUCCUCCUUAUUCUUCGUCAUUUUCGUUCAUCCUUCUCGGAUAUACGAUGGAUCCGGUUCUGGUAAUUAUUUGUUUCCGUUAAUUGGCGCGCGCUACAAGAAAACCUGCAUUUUGGGACUAAACAUUGUGAUGCUUAUUUUAGUCGCAAAUAUAAGCGACUGUUUUGCAACUUAUCUGAGACAAUUUACCGACUACACAAAUAAUCGAAGCAAAAUCAUCGCCAACUUGCGACGACAGCAAUUAGUCGGUAACACGUCUCUUAUGUACGACGCUUAACCGAUGGUUGUGUAACCAAUCUAGAUGCUCGCAAAAUAACAGCAAUUUGAGACUACUAAGUAACUAGACUUGUAGUAAGAACGAAGAGUAGCAAAUUUGCGGGUUAUUUGCAACAAUAUUUUGGUCACAAAAUUGUUUAUAGUUUUGUUAUAAUACUCAACAUUAAGAUUAUUUUUAUUUGUGUUAUAUGCAUAGAAAUGUUCAGACAAUCUAAAUCAAUUUAAAGUUUUACAUGUUAUUUUAUAAGAAGGUGUGUAUAUUUGUGAAAAUUUCAUAAAAAAUCUACUAAAACAAUGUUUGAGACUCUUAAACAGUUACAAUAUACGCUAGAAUAACAUCAUAAGUUCUUAUUAGUACUUGGGUUCAUAAGUUUGGAUCAAAAUGUAUAGAAUUCAACAUUUUGCUUUGUGACUAAGAGAAAAUUGUCACCUGAAUUAAAUUAUUAAAAUACAAAAAUUUCAGAAUAUGUAAAUUAAUUUAAAGAGUUACAUGUUACUUUAUAAGAAUGUUUGUAAUGUUGUGAAAUUUAAGAAAAAAACCAACAAAAACAAUGUUUGAUACUCUUAAAGUGUUACAAUAUACUGUAAUACCAUUUUAAUUUCUUAUUAGUGCUUGGGUUCAUCAGUUAUGAUCAAAAUGUAUAGAAUUCAAAAUUUUGCUUUGUGACCAAGAACAAACCGUCACAAAACCGUAACAGUUUGCAACGAAUGUGUAACGUAUUUUGCGACUCAUUUGCUACGGUGCUCUUUAUUUUUCUAUUUUUUGUGAAAUUUGGCUAAGUGUUGAGCGUGUUAUCUUCCCCCCUCCCUUUUUUUUUUUUUUACUUUGUCUCUCUUUUGUGACUAAUUUGAGACCCCUUUUUGUUAAUACCAAAGAAAAAUACUUUAACGUUUUCUCAUUUAUCUCGUUUCUCAAAAUCGAUCUAGGGUUUUAGAAAUUCUCGCAACUUUCUCCUCUUCUCAUUCUCUUCUGAAUCGAUUCUUCUCCAUACUCUCUAAUGGCUGGUAAGGGAAAGUCUAAAAGAGGUCGUGGAGGCAGAUAUGCUGCUGGUGUUAAAGUCUUCCAUGGUGAGAGUUCUCGUGGAAGAAAAGGACCCACAAGUGUUCAGGUCCAGAAUGUUGAGAGUUCACGCGGAGGCAGAGAAGCCAGAGGUGUUCGGAUCUCUUCUGGUGAGCAUUCACUCGAAGGCAAAGAAGCUAGAGGUGUUCGGAUCUCUUCUGGUGAGUAGGGCGUAGGAAUUGUAUAGAAGCGUCUUCUCACACCUCGGUGGCUCGACCGGAGUCACAGUCUUUGACCCAUUCAAAUAGACAACUUCCAACCUAGUAUCCAGUGAGGGUACAACCAGCGCCUCGUAUUCCUCAACUUGCGCCUCGUGCUCCUCAACCAGCACUGGAGGAAGAUGAUGAAGAGGAAGAUGAAUAUGAUGAGAACCAUGAUCUUAAUCCUGCUGAAGAAGAAAAUCCCGAGGACGGAGAAAAUCCUAAUGAUGAAGACAGCCAAGCUUUGUUAGACCGUUUGCAAGCUUUUCCAGGCCGACAACAUCUACCACUUCUGUCAAAGGAUCCUAUCCUUUUCUCUUUGGUAAUGUCUCUCCUUUUCUCUGUUUACAUAUCAUUUUUCAUCUGAUUUUGAGGAACUUAACUUGUUUGCUUUAGUCCUCUAGAAAAGUGACUAAUGCUGCAAUGUUUGCUUUAGUCCUCUAGUCCUCCAGUCCUUUAUGAAUGUGAUCUCGCUACUUUGAUUCUAAUGUCAGCAGCUAAGUUAAAUCUCUUGCUAAUUCUAUGUUGCUUCAGUAAGGUAUUAGUUAGAUCCAAUGAGUUUAAUAAGGACUGAUUCUACCAAUGUCUUGGUGUGUGGUCUCAUGUAAUGUCUACUACUCUCUUUAAUAAGGACUAAUACUCUGUUUUUUUGUGACAGUUUCAACAGGCACAGAGGUAUACUUUCUCAAACGAUUGCACGAAUAAUUAGGAGGAAAUUUGAUGGUCCUUACUAAAGUUGGAACGUUACUCAUCCAUCCAUUCGAGAGAGAGAGAUAUUACAUGAAUUUUGCUGUAAAAUGUCAUAUAGCUUUAAAUGUGUUUUUAUCACUCAUGAAUGACUUAGUAUCUAUGCUUACUUAACUCUUUUGUAUUAUGUAGCGGAAGUUCAACUGGGAUAGUGAUAUUACUGAGUUUGUUAAAGAUGGAUUCUUGGUAAUAGCCAAGAAACGGAUGAAAGGGAUUGUGAGUCAAGCUAAGAGAAGUGGUACAUAACCUAUUUGGAUUAAGAAUACACUGUGGGCUCGGGAGCUUGUUCAUUGGAACGACUCUGAUGUAAUAGAGAAGAGGUCAAAUGCUUCACAGAGCAGAAACUCCGAUCAUGACGGUCUCGGAGUCCCCAAACAUCUAGCUGGUCAGAAAUCAUUUUUGCAAGUUCAUCAAGAAAUGGUAAUACUUCUCUGUCCAUCAAAACAAUUCACUGCACUUAAUUUCAGAUAUUGGUUUCUUGAUUUUAACUAGUUUCAUUUGCCUUGUAGGAGGAAUAAUUAGGGCGCCCUGUAUCACUUUGCGAAGUGUUUAUGCGAACACAUACUCGAGCUGACGGAUCAUUGGUUGAUCAAAAAGCUAAACAAGUAGCUGGGAACUAUGAGAAGACGUUAGAAGAGAAACUGUCUGAAAUUGACGAGGAUGGUCCAUAAACUUCUUCUGAAAAUUCAACUCAACGUACUCUCAACAUUGGUGAAAAGAAUGACAUCUUUAUUAAGGUAAUUCUUUAGUACUCAUAAUUUGUUAAGCAUAUGACGCUUGUUUGUUAUAGGUGUGAUUUUCCUUGUGCUUUUUCAUCUCUUCAUUUACAUGAUAAAUGUAUAAUACUUGUUGUUGGUGUGGAUACUGAUGGUUCUCUAUUUGGUCUGUAUUUUCUGUUGCUGGUCUGAAUUUUGUUGGUCUUAAAAUUUGGUUUUGUUGAAUUUUGUUUGUUUUAGUGUACUGAAACAGAUGACAAGGGCAACCCUUUUUCCCUGGGAUCACUUAUGGAGACACUGAAGAGAGGGAAAAGAAAACAAGCUUAUGAAAGCUCUUCUUUAUCAACAGUUUUGGAGCUUCAAGAAAAACUUCGUCGCAACAUGGCUCAUCAUGAGGCUGAGAAUGCAUGACGUGAAGAGGAGCACGACAAAUGCAAAUGCAGUUGCAAAAGCUUUUCCUCUACAUGAAAGACAAAGAUCCAGAAUUUGCAUCUUUUCUGGUUUCUUCUCCAACUGUACCUGCAACUAUAGCUGACACCACACCUGCAGCCACCAGACCACCAACCACUGCACCAGCCACUGCGACAAGUACUUGAACCAGCCACUUCACCAGCUGCCGUGAUAGGUUCUGCAUGUGCCACCUCGUUUGGCACCACACCAGUUCCAUAACCCCUUUGUCUAACGCUUCCUACUCAUAAACAUGAUAUGCUUAACUUUUGAUGUAAUUUUUAUGUUAACGUUUGGUUUACUUUUUGUUAUGAACAAUUAGGAUAUUUAUUGUAUGAUUAGGAUGAUGGUUUCUUUGUAAAUAUAUGAUUAGGAUGAUAUUUAUCUUAAUUAUUUGAGUUUUAAAUGUUAUAGUUCGUAAUUUAUUUAGAUUAGUAAUCAAAUUAGGUCAAUAAAACAAGAUUCUUGGAUGCCAAAAUAUCACCAAGUUGAGACCAUUUCAAUUUACAUAUACAACCAAACUAGUUGCAUAAUGGUUACAAUACAAAACUACUAUCAGACUGUAUAUAUUGGGUCUUAAAUUAGUCGCAAAUUUUAAACACCCAUUUGUGACUGUAUUGUAACUGAAAGAAGUAUUACGUCUGAUUAUUAAAGGUCUGUAAAACGUCGCUUAUUAACGACUACAUUUUACAGUCAUAAAGUGGUCAUACAUUUGCGACUUUUUCAGGACUAAUAUAUGUAGUGACCAUUUUUUAGUGACCAUCUGUUAUAGUCGUGAAAUAGGUGUUUGCGACCAUUUUAUGACGUUACUCGGAGUCGCAAAUGACGUGUUUUCUUGUAUCAUGGGUUAAAAACAGAAAUAUGUACUAACCCCAAAGAUAGAGGGUACAGUUCUGCAGAUACGGAAAUAACACACGAAAAUCUUGUGAAGUUGGUUCUCGAUGGCUACGAAUUGAAGGAAUUGAGCCAUUAGGUAAAGCUGAGCUACAUGUUCUCGUUAGAAUAGCUCUGCCAAGCCUAGAAAUAGUAAGCGUUAAGUCAACCAUGGCGCUGGCAUAACUUGGCCAAACCACAAAUUUAUCUUCGUGAAGUCAGCUAUGUUGUUAGAAUAACUCAGCCAAACCUCGAAUUAUCUGUGAUAAGUCAACCAUGUCGCUAGCAUAACUCGGACAAACUUCAAAUAUGGUAGAUGUGAAUAUUUGAUACACUCAUGUAAUUAAAACACUUUAAUAAGAUGUAAUUAAAAUUUAUAUUUACUUUAAUAAACCAGAUAAUGAUCAUGAAAUUAGCUCUUGUUUGUACUUUUUAAACAUAUCCAACAAAAUGAUAAACCCCAAACUUUAUACUUAGCUUCCAUUCCUAGCCAAUUGAUCAAUAUAAAAUGUGAAUGGGUUGUAAGUGUGAAAAUUUUAUUGUAUUUUAAUAUUAUAAAUCUUAACAUUCUUAUAACCAAUACUAAUUGUAACAUACAAAUGUCCCUUUAAAUUAAAAGUUUACUCAUAAGUCAGCAGUGAAAAGUAAAUAACACAGCCGUGACGUAUUAUUUUACAGUCAAACACAAAACUUUGAAUUAUUUUGAAUACUGUUUUGGAAAAUUUGAUUAUUUUGGAUAAAAAAAUUUGAAUAGUUUUGAUUAUUUUUAAAAAAGAUAUUAAUUUAUGAAUUUAUUAUGAGUGAGCGUGUGAAAAUGUGUACAUAAUUUUUGUGGGCGUUUCCACAAAAACACUUUUUAUAAUCUCGAAAAUGUAUAUCAUAACCCAGCUGUAAUAUAGAAUAACUCUGUUGUAAUGUAGCAUAACUAAGCCGAAAUGUGACAUAACUCAGAAAAAAAGUUAAAAACAACUUUUCGUANNNNNNNNNNNNNNNNNNNNNNNNNNNNNNNNNNNNNNNNNNNNNNNNNNNNNNNNNNNNNNNNNNNNNNNNNNNNNNNNNNNNNNNNNNNNNNNNNNNNCUUUGUUAUUUUUGUCGGAAAACGAAUAGUCCCCACUCGAGUUCAGACGAAAUGCGACAGCAAUGAGAAGCGGUGAUGGUUUUUUGUUUAGUUGUGGAAUCUUCGAGAGAGGGAACGAUGCUUUCUUUUUUGUGUUCCUGAACAAUGAUCCAAACGAUUCACUUUUCUCCUUUUUUAAUCAUUAAUGACAGAGUACAUAUUAAUAAUGACGUGGAUAUUUUGGUUAUGAAGUGGAUAUUUUGGGUAUAAUGUGGAUUUUGAAGUAUGACAUGAAAUUUUUUAAUGAAAAGAUAACCAAAUCUGUUAAUUUUAUUUACACCCAUGACAGUAAACAUAUGAGUAAAUUUAAGAAAAAAAUUACAAUCUAGUAAUAUUCCAACAAUUGUGCUAUAUCUCAUUAAUAAUUUCUAAAAAGAAAUGUAAAAGUAAAUAACAUAGUAUUAAAAAAUCUUCUAUCUUUUAUGUUCAAUUCUCUCAUUUUCUUGGGUUAUCCUCUUUUAUAUUUUCUUGGCUUUCAUCUUCUAUCAAAAUGUCAAAUCAUUUUUGUUGGAGAGAAUCAAAGAAAAUAGACAGAUUCAAUUACCAGAACAUAACGCUUUCAGAUUGAGGAUCCAAUCAAAAUUAACCAAUUGUAGAAUCUUAACACAUUAUGCAUAGCUAUAAUUUGCUUCAUAAUUGCAUCUAAAUAUCAUUUUCCAAUAAAGAGGUAAAAAUAAACGUGCCAUACUUGAAAAAAUGCCAUAUCACGUCACUUUACGAUCAGUUUGGUCAUUUUUAGUCUUUGUCAUGCUACUAGGCUUAAACGGUAGAUAAAGAUAUGUUAAACAUGAGAAUAAGUUUGGAUAUCUGCAAGUUAACUACACACCACAAUUAUAGAUUUCAAGCAUCAUCAUGUAAGACAAAUAUGCUCCUACUUGAAAUCGGUUGUUCUAAAUAAUAAUCUGAAGAGAUUUAGCCACAAUAUAAAGUUUAUCUUCAAUUAUUUUCAUGCGAGACUUCGCUUCAAGUAUCUCAGAGUUAAUUCUUAUCUCUGAUUCUAGACUCUGAAAGUAUUUGGACGGUGAUGGACCACGAAUACUUGUGCUCGGACCGAAUACUUAUUCAAACGCAUCCUUAGGACCAGACUCACUACUUGAUGAUUCACUUUUAAUAUUCUGAUUUAUUACGUGUGUAAGCUUAUCUUACAUGUUUCAAAAAUCCUAUGUAAGAAGACUAAAACAGAGAAUAAUAUAAAGUAAACUAAUCCACAAACUAAUCCUAUGUAAGAAGACUAAAACAGAAAACAUAGAACUUACUGGCUACUGCACAUAUUCUUGCUUCAUUGCUGAUCAUCAAACUUCCAUCUGAUCUUGUUCAUGAUGCAAUGAACAUUUCUGUUCAACUUGGUUCUUUGCUAGUCUCCUCUUCCUAUAAGAUGUAUACCUAAUUAAAACAUUAUUACAAAAUGUACUAUAGUUCUUACAAUCAGUGAAAGUCACUAAACGAGAGUGUUCAAAAAAGUGAAACAUUGACUUACGAUCUCAUAAGCCUUUCUUGCAAAACUCUUUUUUUCCAAAUGCAUGUAAUAUCUUUAAUUUGCUUCGAUUUUUAUUAUUACGCGCUCUCACUUUCUACAAUCAUAAAAAUGUACCUGAUUGAAAGAUAAAUAUAUUUAUAUGGAAAAUAAACACAUCAAAACAGUAACUCUUACCUUAGGUUCAUAAGUGAAUUGGAUAUGUACAAAAUGUUUUCAUUAGUCAUCUGGAUUCUUUUAGAGUAUUUUAUUUAUGGAUUCUCCUAAGACGUUGUUUCAAGUGUUUACAUCUACCUCCUAAAGUAGACAAUGCAUACUUUUUCCUCUUCUUUGGUAGGAUCAUCAAACCAAAAAGAUUUAUGUUUCAAACAAAAAAUAUUGGUUACGACAAUCAAUUAACAUAGUGUCAAUGAGUAUAGUAAGACUAGACUAAUGAAAUGAUGCAAAAAUCGAAGCCAAAAUUAACCAGGAGCAAACCAGCCCACACACCAUGCUGGUUCACAUGGAGCAUUUAGGAGAAUACUUGCCUAUAUGGAGUGCUGAACAAGCUCAAGCCCAAGGUGAUAACUUCAUAUUUUUACUCUUUUAAGCAUAUGUUUUGUGCAUUGUUUGCAUAUUUAAAGUCUUGUUUCUUAUGAGUAUCAGCCCCUUUUCCUUCAUAUUUCACAUUUAGGAUAUUUAGCAUAGGCAUUCGCAUAUCAUUUGCAUUUUAGAGUAAAAACAGGUACACUCAGACACUUCAGAGUAUAGACCCGAUCUAGCGUAUCCGGCCCGACCAAGGUGAGCACGAUCAAGCACCCUGACCUAGAAAAGGAAGCUGGACUCAGACGAGCCGCGAGAGGACCCGAACGAGCCCAACAUGAACUUAACCGAGCUCUUUUCAAACCGACUUUGUAAUUUUUCUUUUUCUGUUUUAGGGCUUCUAGUACUUAGUAUAAAUAGAGACCUUGCGUCAUUAAGAGAAAAAAUCGAGUUUCAUUAGGUUUUUUCUCUAUAGCCACCAAACAUUUCCAGAAACUUGUAAUCUUAAUAUCUUUUGAUCUGUUGAGUUUUUAGUGUUGCUUCUAUAUAUUUUUUUGCUCCUUAGAUCAUUAUCUAUGUAGUUAUGCAUGAUUUAGCAAUUUUUGGGUUUAUGUUCUUCAUGAUGAAUUCCAGAUCCGAGUAGUUUUCUAGGUUUAGAGGAUGGGUUAGAUGAUGAGGAAUCUUAGUUUCUAGGGAUGUUUAAGUAUAGAUUCAGGUAGAUACCUUCUGGAUUAGGAGAUUUAAUUGCUAGUCUUUGCAUUAAUCAUGUGGGAUAAGAUCCUAGACACUCCAGCACCCAAAAAGUGUUCAACGGAAUGUCUGAUCCACUAAUGCCAGAGAUCUAUUUACUUACCCAAGAGGUUGGCUGUUAAGGAGUAGAUUGACAUAAAUGAGUUUGUUCUUUAUGCCCAUCUACUGCAUGGUUCAUCAAUGAAAGUUGAGAUUAGGAAGUGCUUUAGAUUUGAUAAUCUUUGCCAAGAGAUUGGAAAGAUUAUAAGUGGUUCAUUGUCUAGGAUUAUAUCUAUUUGAGCAUGUUAAGCAUCCCCAAGAGAUUAAGAGGAUUCAUCACUCCAUUAGCCCAUCCUUAAGACCUUUUUUUAUCUUAUUGGUUACCUAUUUUCAUUUCUGCUUUCAAUAUUGCUUCUGUAGUUCUUGCAUUCUUAGUUUCGCUUCAGUAGUAUUCUUAGAUCUUUUAGCUUAUCUUUAGUACUGUUCUUAGAUAUUUUAGUUUAUCAUUCUGUAGUUUACUUUUAUGCAUUUGAGUUCUUAAUCCCAAAAUUUCAACUGCCUGGCUUGACUUGAUACUUAUGUUAUAUCUUGAUUAUUUACAACACACUCAUUUGGAUCGAUUAACCUCAUGUACUACAUUGCACUGGGGAAUUGAACUCCAAGACACACAAAACCCUUGUUUGACUAGGGUCAACUAUCCACCAGAAAUUUAACACUAAGAAGACUAAUGGUUCAGGAAGAAUCAUCGACCAAUCAACUGAUUCGACGAUGGUAUAUCCUGACAUACUAGCUGAAGUACUUGCUGACGGAACUGAAGUUGUACAAGACCAGAAGAAGUUAUUCAAAGAAGGUUAUCUUGUACCACGUAAUGGUGUGUAUGUACAUUUAAAUAGGAGCCUAGAAAACACUCUAAACCAUUCAACUCCCAUACCAUUCAAGAGUUGGUGCAUCCAUCUCACAUGAUCUUUUGGAGCUUAAAAUGGAUGUUUCCUUAAAUGGCUCAUUCCAAAUAUUUCAAUGGAGACCUGGAGAGUUUCAAUAUCACUUAGAGGCUUCAUUACACCCUCUAGGAUGCACCAUAUCACACUUGAUCAGGAGGAUCACGUUUGAGCUCUACGUACCGUAUUUGGACCCAUUUGGCAUUAAUACACAACGGCUCCUUCCUUCUUUGUUUGUGUGCGUGUUAAAGGCUCUUACUAACAUCAAGAAGCUCCCAAGACACUCAACAUAUCCACCAAAACCUUCCAGAUACAAGCCCAAUCAUAUAUCACCUCUAAAUUUUGGGUUAUAACCCUUUGUUUUUUAAUAUUUGCAUAAUUAAACCCUUGCCAUUUGAACAUAAUAAAAUUUAAAGUAGAUUAUCAAAUCCGAAAUUGGAAACAAACAUUUAUUACAGCAAAAAAAUUUCCUAAACUCUCUCUAUAAUAAAUUGAAUAUCUCUCCAAUAUAUUUAUAUAAUUUUAUUUGUUUUAAAUUUAUAUUAUUACAUAAAACAUAUGUAUAAUAAAAAUACAAUUUUUUUUUGCUGUUUAAAUUUCAAAAACUGACGUAUUGUAACGCCCGUGUUCUGGAAAAUAAUAAAGACUUGAGUUUGUAGAAGAAUUGGGGUGGAGUUUGUUUAAUUCUGGGUUAUUUACUAAGCUGGUCGAUUUGUUAAUUGAAACAUAGGUGGUUUAUUUAAUGUCGGUUUAUUUAAAUCCUCGUUUAAUCAAGUUAAACCAAAAACCCAAUUUCCUCUCUCUUUUGCUAUGUCGUUGCUUUGUUAUUAGAAAUUAGUUAGAGAAAAGCUAAAGGAAAAGUUCACUUGUGAGAAGCAGAUGGUUAGCUUUGGUUUGAUGUUUAAGGCAAAAGAAGCAGAUUCGUCACGUUUUUGGAGAAAAGGGUUACGACGUAUUGAUAACCUUAUAUUUUUAUACUCUUAAGCAUAUGUUUUGUGCAUUAUUUGCAUGUCUAGGUCUCUACUUCUUAGGGUUUCUAGUCUCUUUGCAUUAUAUUUCGCAUCUAGGAUCUUUAGCAUAGGGAUUUGCAUAUCAUCUGCAUUUUAGAGCAAAAACAGGUACACUCGGACAUUGAAAAGCAUGGACCCGAUCGAGUGUGUCCAACCCGACCAAGCGAGCACGAUCGAGCACCCGGGCUCACAAGAGGAAGCUGAACACGGACAUGUCGAGCAUGGACCCGAACGAGCCCAACAAGCACCCGACCGAGCUCACCUUAAACCGACUUUGUAAUUUGUCUUUUUGUAUUUUAGGGCUUCCUGCCCUUAGUAUAAAUAGACCACUUGGGUCAUUAAGCUAAAAACAAAUUUUCAUUAGGGUUUUUCUCCGUAGCCAUCAAACAUUUCCAGAAACUUGUAAUCUUUAUAUAUUUUGAUCUAUUGAAAAUUUGGAGUUGUUUCUUUACAAUAUCUUGCUCCUUAGAUCAUUAUCUAUCUAGUUAUGCAAGAUUCAAAGAUUUCUGGGUUUGUGUUCUUCAUGAUGUACUCAAGAUCUGAGUAGUCUUUCUAGGGUUUAUAGGAUGGGAGGAAUCUUAGUUUCUAGGGUUGCUUAAGUAUAGAUUUAGGUAGAUACCUUCUGGAUUAGGAAAUCUUAAUGCUAUCUUAGCAUUAACCAUGUGGGAUUAGAUCUUAGACAUUCCAGCACUCAACAAGUGUUCAAAUGGAAUGUCUGAUCAACUAAUGCCAGAGAUCUAUUUACUUACCCAAGAGAUUGGUUGUUAAGGAGUAGAUUGACAUUAAUGAGCUUGUUCUUUAUGCCUAUUUAUAGUAUGUUUCAUCAAUGAAAGGUUAGAUUAGGAAGUGCUAUAGAUCUGAUAAUCUUUGCCAAGAGAUUAGACUGAUUAGGUUAAGUGGUUCAUUGUCUAGGAUUAGAUCUAUCUGAGCCUGUUAAGCAUCCCAAAGAUACUAAGAGGAUUCAUCACCCCAUUAGCCCAUUCUUUAUGCCUAUUUAUAGUAUGUUUCAUCAAUGAAAGUUGAGAUUAGGAAGUGCUAUAGAUCUGAUAAUCUUUGCCAAGAGAUUGGACUGAUUAGGUUAAGUGGUUCAUUGUCUAGGAUUAGAUCUAUCUGAGCAUGUUAAGCAUCCCAAAGAUAAUAAGAGGAUUCAUCACCCCAUUAGCCCAUCCUUAUGACCCUUUGUUUAUCUGAUUGAUUAUCUGCUUUUAUUUACUGCUUUCAAUUCUGAUUCUUUAGUUUACUUUUAUGCUUUAGAGUUUAUUAAACCAACCCCUGAACUACUUGGCUUGACUUGAUUAAAUCUGUUAUAUCUUGAUUGUUUGAAAUUCAUCCAUCUGGAUCGAUACCUCUUAUGCUACAUCGCUAAGGGGAAUUGAACUCCAAGGGUAUAAAAAUACCUGUUUCAAUUUGGCGCCGCUGCCAUUUGGAUGUUAUUUGUUCCAUUUAGGAUCCCAGUUCUAUCUAGAUCAAGUUCUUUUACUUUCGUUAUCCUUGGAAAAUCUACCUUUGCUACUUGUCUGUCUUGCAUUUCAGGUACACUCGACCGAGCUACACUCUGCACUCAAUAAGUUUUUGAUGAACCAGCAGAAGAAUGUACACUUUGUUCAAGAGGAGGAGACCUUCCAACCUAAUGAUGGUGAUUGUGCUAAUAUUGAGGAGGUGAGCUAUAUCCAGAAUCAAGGAGGUUACCAAAAGGGUUACAACAACUACAAACCCAACCCAAAUCUCUCUUAUAGAAGCACCAACGUCGCGAACCCCCAGGAUCAAGUCUAUCCGCCUCAACAACAACAGUUCCAGAACAAGCCAUAUGAUGGCUUUAAUAAAAAACAAGCUUUUCAACCUCAACAACAGUCCCAAGGUUCUUAUCAACAGCAUAUAUCACACCCUCCAGGAUUCCAACAGCACCCUACUAAUGUGCACCCAGAACAAGAUAUUCAAACAACACUUCAUCAGCUUCUCCAAACACAGAACAAUAGCCGCCUGGAACAAGCCAAGCAGUUAGCCGAGCUUCGCAACGAGAUGCGUGAGUUUAUACAGGAGCUCCACCAAAAGUUCGAUUUUUUAAACAAAAGGGUAGUUAUCUUAGAAGGCAACCAACCCUCCACAUCUUCUGGCCAACCCCAGAAAAGUCUAUCAUGAACCCUAAAGAAUUUGCUACUGCUCAUGCGAUUACUCUGGGAAAACCAUUCCCAAUUAUCACUGAGGACAGUGAGGUUCAAGAGGGUGAGGAUUCAGCACAAAUGUGUACCCUACACGGUGAACCCGAUCGAGUCUACAACUGGCACGACCGUGCCAAUGGUGAACCCGAUCGAGUCUACCAAAGACUCGACCGAUCUGAUCAAAGGUACCAUGAACCCGAUUGAGCCUGAUAUCGUGUACGCUGCUUGUCUGACAGGUUGUGUGAAUUAAAUUCCGACGAGCCUCUUCGCCCGAUCAGAGCUACCAGCCCCAAGCCUUCGAAUCGAAGACCACUACUCUACCCUGAAGAAUCUAAAGCAGAAAUCAAGGAAGAAUAUAACCACAUUCUCGAUUCACUAUCAGGGAACGAUCAGCUGAAGGCUUUGGUGGAUGCUUUUGCCAACAUUCCCUCCUACAGGGUGAUUCUCAAAGAAGUCCUAUUGGAAAGGAUGCAACAAAGGAAGAGUUGGAUUCCACCCUCUCAAGAUUCUGAUUUCUCCAAGAAGAUGGGGGAUCCUGGAGCUUUCACACUCCCCUGCUCAAUCCGAUCAACGAUCUUCAACGAGUGUUUAUGCGACACAGGCGCUUCGAUUAGCUUGAUGCCCCUCUCAAUAACUCAGCGGAUGGGCUAUACAACCUUUACACCAUGCAGCCUGACGAUUGUGAUGGCGGACAGAAGCUCUAGACAACCCGUAGGGGUAUUAGAGAAUCUCCUUGUUGAAGUUGGAGCAGUAAAGAUUCCCACUGAUUUUCUGAUUGUCAAGAUGGAAAGGGAACUUCAGUAUCAACUAAUUCUAGGAAGACCAUUUCUAGCCUCAGCAGGUGCACUUAUUGAUAUGAGAAUGGGGGUCAUGACUCUUGAUCUUGUUAGAGGGACGAGGAUGAAGAUCAAUAUGGCAUAUCCGCACCAAAGUACAACGUUCAGAAUAGAAGAAACCUCGACCUCUUCUCCAACUUGUGCUGAGCUCCAGGAGAUCAAGACUCUCAAGAAAGACUUAAGGCGGCUAGCAACCACCAUUCAGGGAUUAACCGAGGAAAUUGUGAUGUUGAAGAAGAAGAACGACAUCUUGACUUCUAGGAAAGCAAAGAGGGUAUUUACUUUCAAGAAGAGACAUGCUGCAAGGAAGAAGUAUCAGAUACAUUGGUCAUUGGCAUUGGAGAGAAUGGUUGAACCUCUCCAUUGUUCAAACACUUCGUGAGGAUUAUACCAAGUCAAGCUUAGCGACUAUAAACAAGCUCAAUUGGGAGGAAGUCCCAAAGGUAUCCCUGUACAUAUUUCUUUAAGUUUUUAAAAUUUGAUGUUCUUUUUAGUUUGAUGUAUUUUCAGGUUUGAAUGUGAGUGAAGAAAGGUGUUAUUGGGCCAAGAUAAGGGAAGAAGGAAGAAAGAGUCAAUUUGAGCCUUAAAAGCCCAAUUUCACAAGCCCAUUUGGUCGAGUCAACACCCACACGGACGGGUCAACGCGAUUCGAUUGAGUCAGUCUCGACCGUCUGAUCGAGUCAAUCUGAGCCACCCGAUCGGGUUCAUCUCAGCCGUCCGAUCGGGUCAAAGGUAACGGUCAGGUCAAUGGUCAGCUCAAUUUGAAAUUCAAAUUUUGAACCAAGCCCGACCAAAAACUCUCCUCUUUCAGAUUUUUGUCCCCUCUCACCCUCUUUAUAACAUNNNNNNNNNNNNNNNNNNNNNNNNNNNNNNNNNNNNNNNNNNNNNNNNNNNNNNNNNNNNNNNNNNNNNNNNNNNNNNNNNNNNNNNNNNNNNNNNNNNNUUUUGCUAAAAAUUCAUAUAUCUCUCUAGAAUUCUCUCUUCCUUCUCUCUAGAUUCUUGGUUGAUAGAAUUUCUGGGUUUGAUUUCAUUUGCCCCUUGUUCCUCUCAUUCUCUGUUUUGUUGAUAAACUUGCUUUCGAUUCUUCACAUUUUCUGGGUUUGUUUGUAUAAUUGAACCUUGUGUUCUUGUUUUCUGGGUUUAUUUUCAAGAUUGUUCUUGGUGUUCUUAUUUUCUGGGUUACUAACCUAUUAAAUUUGAGUUUUGAGUUUCUCAUUCCCAGAAAACAAAAAUAUCUUCAAGGAUUCCUCAACCCAGAAGGAAGAGCCUCUCAAGAUCACAACGAGAAGCUCAUCGCAGACAAUCUGCCAAAGAAAUUGCAAGAAAUUUCUUGACAAUCCAAGCCACUGGAACCGGACUCGAUCGGGUCAGAAGCGGAAGAAGAGAAGCCCGAGCACGAACCCGAUCACCCGAUCGGGCCAGUCGAUCGGGUUAGACCCACCCGAUUUCCAGAGAAGAAGUUUCGAUGGGGAAGAGACCCGCAGAUGAGGAUGUUGAUGAACCGAUGGUGGAUAUGGAGCCUAGAAGGGUAGUGGCUCCAAGGAAGACCAAGAACAUGCCCCCUCCAGAAGAGCUUUAUGCAAUUUUUAAGAGGCAAAAGUUUGUUGGAACCCGCUAUCCUCACCGGCAAACGAUGAAGGAGCUGGGCUUAGCAAGAGAUGUCGAGUUUCUGUUCCAGAGAAGCGGCCUUGGCUCAUUCAUGACUAAAACCUUGGAAGCCUACGAUGAGGAGACGUGCUACGUGUUGGCUUCACUUCAGCUCCAUUUCUACGAGGAUGAAACCGAUUUCCACUCAGAUGACUGCCUUGGAUACAUAACCUUUAGCGUGAGGGGCACUACCUAUUCUCUCACGUUUAAGGAAGUUGAGAACCUCUAUGGGUUCUUGCAAGCAAGCGGGAUGAGCCAAGAUGUGCUUAAGGAGGAGAUCAAGUCUGUUUGGAAAACAAAUGGAGAUGGGAAGGAGUACACCUCUUCGAAAUCCAAGAGCGCCCAAAUCCGAAAUCCAGCUUUGAGGUAUUUCCAUAAGUCCUUGGCUUGUACGAUUUUUGCUAGAAAGGAGACCGGGAAUGUGAACGAGAGUGAGAUCCAGCUCAUAGAUAUAGUAUUGAGUGGUGUAUUGCCAAGUACUAGGGAUGGUAGAGAACUAGUAGGAGAUAAAAUGGAUGGUAGCAUGGUCUCGGUUCUGUUAAACUAGCUGAUGUACUGCAAGGAUUGGGUAUUUAAAGCUGUUAGGAGAGGUGUGCAAGGAGAGCUCAGUAUUGGUGGACUAGUCACCCCGCUAUUGGUAGCUUGUGAUGUUGAAUUACGGGGGAAGGUUUACAACGCUCGUUGGAUUGACAUUGAGACUUUAACAAGGACGCACUUCCUUGAUAGCGAGUGUCCCAACGGGUUUUAUCUAUAUAAGUUCACCCACCCUUCACUUGGAGCAGCAAGAAUGGUGUUGCCUAACACCGAGCUUACAAAGAUCAGAUUGGGUGCUAAUAUCGAAUUUUGGCCACCCGUCUCAGCGUUAUAUGACCCGAGGUCAGUCCAAGAUCCAGUUCCUAGCUUCGAGCCAGUCCAACAAACCUAUGCACCUGAGAUCAGAGAAGAAAAGCAUGCUAGGGAAGACCAGGAAGAGGACUUCUAUUUUGACGAUUGGGAAGAGUCCUCUAGGCAGUCAAGGAGGGUAAAGGAAGCUCAUGAAAAGAUUAGCAUCCUUCAGAAGUGGAACAAGUUCCAAAGCAAGACUAUCACGGCAUUGAAGAACACUGUGAAGGAUCUUGCUGGAACAGUUAAGGAUAUGGGGGAGCAGAUCAAGGAGCUUCAGAACAAGGUUGGAUGCUCAACCUCCACUACAGCCAUGUCUAGUAAUUUGGGGAGGAGUGCAUCAGUCAGGACACAUACCAAAUCCAACCUACCAGUUAGCCCGCCUAGAGCUUCAUUUGAUCCGAGGAGAAGUCUGUUCAGAACCAGAAGAGAACCGGGAGCUGACACGAGCACCUUACCCGAACGCACACCCGAUCGGGCCGGCUCUUCACACCCGGUCGGGUCAGCCUAUCACCUCGCAGUCGACUCUGAAAAUAUCCAAACCGAGCAUGUAGCAGCAGGCCUCGACGUCAUGAGCUCGUGGUUUGGACCACCACCCAAGAGGUAAUUCUAUUACCCUUAAACUUUGUAAGUACUUCCUUGCAUUUUUAAAAUUUCUUUUUGAUCCUAAGCCUUCCUUCAAAUUUUUAUUACACAAGUGAAUGUGUAAUUUAAGUUUGGGGGAGAGCUUAAGAUAGCAUUUGAAAUGUUUUCUAUUUUCUUAUUUCGAAUUUUUAGCAUCUAGUCUUGCAUUCAUCUAUGUGCAUCAAAAACCCCUAAAAAUUUGAAAAAUUUCAGAAAAGCCUUUAAAAAACAGAGUGUUCAUAUAGUUGCAUUUGCAUAAGUCUUGCUUUAAAAAACAGAGUGUUCAUAUAGUUGCAUUAGUCUUGCUUUAAGGUUGUUGCAUUUAGGAUCAUUGCAUUAGCAUAGGGGAUUAUGAUGAUUAUAACCAAAGAACUUGUUGUUUCAUUAGAUUUAACACCAAUGCCUUCGUUCAUAGUUGUUUAAUGCUUUCAGUUGAGCUUGAAAUGAGACCGCACCAUUCUUUGAUCGCAUGAUUUGAAUUCUAGUCUAAACUGAAGCUUGCUUUGAUAUGAUGCCAUCCUUUACUGAUAAGAACCUUAACUUGAAUUGAUAAUUAUCUAAUUGUGAUUUGUUUAAAACUCAUGGAUACCUUGUAUACAUACUUGGAUCUUCUUUCCCUCUUUUUACCACUCUCUUGUUGAUCCAAGUAGCUGGUCAUAACCUUGACCAGUUAACCACACUCUAAAAACCUUAACCUUUCCUUCAAGCCUUUGUUUUAAUUCUGAGUGGAAGGCCUAUUUUUUGGGAUUGAACUUUAAGAGAACGUGUUAGGUUUGAGCCGACAGGAAUAGGGUCUUGAGUAGUUCUGAUUUGCAUUUUUCGGAUCAGAUAGGACUAGGAUGGAUUCUACUUGGGUUUUGGGAUUUGUUGGGAUGGUGAAAAGAAAAGAAAAGAAUAAAUGAAUGAGUUGAGUCUUUAGGAGAAUAAAAGUUUCAGAAAAGAUCAAGGUUCUAGUGAAAGAUAAGUGGGGAAUGCAAAGUACAAAAGAAAUGGUUCUAGAUUUUAAAAGAAAGAGAGAAAAGUGUGAAGAUAGCAAAAUGCUUCUAUGUCUUAAGUAUUAAGAAGAAAGAGAACCAUAGUGUUUAUAAAGAAAACCCCCUAUCCACAAGUUUAUCAUAAGAAACUCUCCUUAGACUUAGAACAAAAAGGGAAAUUGGGAUGAAAAGAGUUAAAGGGUAGAAUAGGAUCAUAUGAGUUUAGAUGAUUAGGAUAUAACUUGGGUACUUUGGGUAGUCAAGAUGUUAUUCCUGUAUGCAUUUGUUGGUCCUUACCUUUAGCAUUUUCCCAAAAUCUCAAUCUUGUUCAUAGAGAGAUCCCAGCACUUGAACGAUUAAACCCUCACCAAAAAGAGUCUCUAUUUAUCUCUUAAACCUUUUACUUGCCUAGCCAAAUGAGUUUAAAUUCAAAUUCACAUCCAGAUUCACUGUUGCUACUUAAUGAAUGUUAAAAAGGAUGGCUGACUUGAUUGCUUGUCUAGGUUAUGAGGCUGAUGACAUCUUGUGUUGAAAUAGGAAUGGCUAAUGUCUUCAGAGUACAGCCUUUGAAUUGCAUUCUAGAAUUACGAACUAGGACAUUGGUGUUAAACUCUUUUGCAGCAAGUUUUGGUUCUGAGUCCCCACCUUCAAACCUCUCUCCCUACUUUGAAUUUGCUUGAGGCCAAGCAAAGAAUAAGUUUGGAGGAGUUGAUAACCUUAUAUUUUUAUACUCUUAAGCAUAUGUUUUGUGCAUUUUUUGCAUGUCUAGGUCUCUACUUCUUAGGAUUUCUAGUCUCUUUGCACUAUAUUUCGCAUCUAGGAUCUUUAGCAUAGGGAUUUCAUAUCAUCUGCAUUUUAGAGCAAAAACAGGUACACUCGGACACUGAAAAGCAUGGACCCGAUCGAGUGUGUCCAGCCCGACCAAGCGAGCACGAUCGAUCACCUGGGCUCACAAGAGGAAGCUUAACACGGACGAGCCGAGCAUGGACCCGAACGAGCCCAACAAGCACCCGACCGAGCUCACCUUAAACCGACUUUGUAAUUUGUCUUUUUGUGUUUUAGGGCUUCCUGCCCUUAGUAUAAAUAGACCCCUUGGGUCAUUAAGGUAAAAACGAGUUUUCAUUAGGGUUUUUCUCUGUAUCCACCAAACAUUUCCAGAAACUUGUAAUCUUUAUAUCUUUUUAUCUAUUGAGAAUUUGGAGUUGUUUCUUUACAAUAUCUUGCUCCUUAGAUCAUUAUCGAUCUAGUUAUGCAAGAUUCAAAGAUUUCUGGGUUUGUGUUAUUCAUGAUGAACUCCAGAUCUGAGUAGUCUUUCUAGGGUUUAUAGGAUGGGUUAGGUNNNNNNNNNNNNNNNNNNNNNNNNNNNNNNNNNNNNNNNNNNNNNNNNNNNNNNNNNNNNNNNNNNNNNNNNNNNNNNNNNNNNNNNNNNNNNNNNNNNNGUUUCAUCAAUGAAAGUUGAGAUUAGGAAGUGCUAUAGAUCUGAUAAUCUUUGUCAACAUAUUGGACUAAAUAGGUUAAGUGGUUCAUUGUCUAGGAUUAGAUCUAUCUGAGCAUGUUAAGCAUCCCAAAGAUACUAAGAGGAUACAUCACCCCAUUAGCACAUCCUUAUGACCCUUUGUUUAUCUGAUUGAUUAUCUGCUUUCAAUUCUGCUUCAUUUGUUUACUUUUAUGCUUUAGAGUUUAUUAAACCAACCCCUGAACUACUGGGCUUGACUUGAUUAGAUCUGUUAUAUCUUGAUUGUUUGCAAUUCAUCCAUCUGGAUCGAUACCUCUUAUGCUACAUCGCUAAGGGGAAUUGAACUCCAAGGGUAUAAAAAUACAUGUUUCACGUAUCAAAACUAAUGCAAAUGUAAUGAAUUUUGGUAAGGUUAUUCUAAAGGCAUGUAAGCGGAUUCUUCUUUUUACAUAAGUGAAAUUGGAUUAAAAUUGGAUUCUUCUUUUUCCUCACAAAAUGUUCGGCACCACUAUGGAAGAACCCGGAAUUUUUCAUAUCUUUACCCUUCAAAAAGAAUGAAAAUAUGAACCCUACCAAGGCUAGCCAUCCAGGAAUGAAUCCAGACCAUUAAAACCUUUCGAUUGAAGAAAUUGAUCAGCUAUAAAAAGAAGACCUCAUUGACAUUACCGGCACUGAGGAUCCCAUCAAAAGGAAAAAGAAUUCUGCAAACAGAUGCAAGUGAUUGUUAUUGAGGAGCAGUUCUCUUAGAAGAAGAUGGAAAAAGAAAGAAACAUAUAUGCGGAUACAAGAGUGGUGCUUUCAAAGACAGUGAAAGGCAUUACCAUUCGACCUACAAAGAGAUUAUCACAGUGAAAAGAGGAAUUGAAAAAUUCGAGUUUCAUCUAGUUGGUCAACAUUUCCUUAUCGAGAUGGAUAUGUCUUCUUUCCCAAAGAUGAUACAGUUCAAACAAAAGGUCUUCCCACAGUCACAAUUACUUCGAUGGGCAAGUUGGUUCUCAAAGUGGAAGUUUGAUGUCAACCAUAUAAAAGGAAAAGACAACUUUCUUCCAGAAUUUCUUUCAAGAACCCAACGAAAAAUCUUAACCAUCAUUCCAAUUAUCUACACUCUCACGCAAGACAAUCCAGAUGAAGAAUCUCUAAAAAGCAUGAUUACUAAUCUACCUUCAGAGAUGCACGGGGAACUGCUCAACCAUGUUCUCAUAUGUAGGAAGUCCGAACAUUACAUGGUUUUCUAAAGCUAUAUGUCCACAUAUACAGGCUCGACCAAGGUAUUCCCCUUCCUUACUACUAUUAAUAUGAAUCCUGCUCACAAUGGUAAAUUCCCCAAGGAAGCAUAUCAUCUGUUAUGGUAUCUGGCAGACCUCUACAACAUUGCAGUGAUGGUUCAUAACAGCCAGCUACUAAAGUACUUGGCAAAGUGCCUCUUGAAAAGGAGAAAUCCACAGUACAAGAUCCUUUACAAAGUGGCUCACUCUAUUUCAUGACGCUACAUGGUGGCAAGAACAUAUUCGUGCACAACAAAGAUUGGAGAUAUUAGUGACAUUUAAGAUAUCAAAAAUCCAAAAUGAAAAAAAAGGAGAGACAACAGUUCGAAACUCCUAUGAUGCUGAAGUCUUGACGAGCAACAACAAUUAUGCGUUCAGCCCAACUAACUUCCAUCACAGGACAAGACAAAUGGCAAGGCUGAAUGGAUUCAUUGAGUCUGACAUUGACCAAAAUCCUUUUUGUCCCCACACGGCUCACUGGCAUAACAGAUACAUGUACCCACAAGAGUUUUUUGAAGAAAUACGACAAAUACUUUUGGGCUUCCAUGAUCAGUACACGUGUCCCCGUUCCAACCUUGACCAACCAAUAUAUCGAGUUGAAAGGACGAGAUACCAAGUCAGGUAUUUUAUCCCUAACGGAAUCUCCUUUAUGCAUGACGUCUCUGACAGUGAAGAAGAAAGUGACAAUGGAUAAGAUGGAAGUCACCUCUCUUUUGGAGACAGGGGGAAAAGAGAGAAGUAUUGAUGUGAAAUAAAUAAAGACAUGAAGUAAAGUAUCAAGUAAAGUAUUGAUGUGAAGUAUAGUGUGAAGUAGAGUAUUGAUGUGAAGUAUGAUGUGAAGUAAAGUAUGUAUGAUUAUUGUGAAGAAAGAAAUAUGCUAUGUAAUAUUCCUUAGGUCUUGUACUAUAAAUAUCAAGCUUGGUGAGGUUUGUUCACCAUAAGCUGAAGUGUCUAAAAUCUUAAGUCCUAAGAGUCCUUUGUAUUUCUCUAGAGAGUGUUCUUGUGUAAUAAAAGCUUUCUCAUAUAUAUAUAUAUAUAUAUAUAUAUAUAUAUAUAUAUAUUCUCUUCCAUAAUCACUUAAUCUUUUUCAUAUAUUUGUUUCAUAUAUCGCGAUCAUAUAAAACCUCCUACGUGGUUGCAUUGACAUUAAUAAGUUGUUUCUUAAUAUUUGUUUAAUGCAUGUUUAAUCAAAGAGAUUUGAGAUUAGGAAGUAGUUCAAGUUUGAUAGUUUAUGCCUAGAGAUUGGAUUAACUAGUAUUAGAGGUUCAUGGUCUAGGGAUCAGCUUGUACAAUUUUUUAAUCAUCUUAAGUAGAUUAACAUGUUCCCCCUACAUCAAUAACCCAUCCUUAUGAUCUUUUUUUCUAUUUUUGUUCUCUGUAUACUUACUUAUUAUUUGCUUGUUCUGUUAUGUUGUUAGUAUUGAUAGUAUUUAUACUUAUUUCGUUCUAGCUUAUGCUUGACUGUCCAUGUUCUGCAGCUUUAGUUUUCUUGAAUGUUCAACGUGUUCACAUAGGUUGUUAGAAAACAAAAGCAUUUUAUGCUUUGCUUGACUUAAUCAUUUCUGCUAGCAUCUUGACUGCUAGCAUCCACCUGAUUUGACUAAAACCUAUUGUACUGCAAUGACAUGAUAGUACUUUAAUAUCUUAUCUAUAUAAACUAGUACAAAAAUCCCUAAAGCCACUCAAAUUUUUGUGGCUGUUUUUUAAUAUCGUGGCUAUUAGCUAUUAUAGCAAUGCUUGGUGACUAUAAUAUUUCAUGACCAUAACGUCGUAGCUUAAUACAUUUGUGGCUUUUCAUGGCUAUAUAGCCACGAAUUAGUCAGGCGUGUUAUGUGACUCAGAUUAGUCACCUAUUAAUCACGAAAGUUUUAGUGGCUGAGUUAGUCAAGAUUUGGCUACUCUACAUUUGUGAUAAAUAUAUAGCCACACAUUUAUUCGUGGCUACGUUUAGUUAGCCACAUGUUUGGCUAAGCUAGGAUUCGUGUGUGCGGCUUGUUUCUAAUCAUUGCCGACAUCACUGAGUGGCCAAGUGACAAGAUUUUCUGUGCAUAAGCCACAAAUUUAGCCACGUUUUGUGUUCGUGACUAACCACUAUUUAGCCACGUUUUUUGUUAGCCAUGAUGUGAUGUGUAAGUUGGUGGAACAACCACAAUGUCAACCACAUUUGGAUACUCUGGCUAUACUACAGCCACAGAUUAAUAACAUUUGCGUGGCUAUUGUGGUUUUAGCCACGAAGUAUCGUGGCAAUAAUAUAUAUAUAUAUAUAUAUAUAUACUAGAAUUUACCCUGUGGUACACCGCGGAUGUAUAAUUUAAUAUAUUUUUUUGAUUGGUCAUUUUCGUACUUGGUUUAUAUAGUCAAGUUUUUAUGUGUUUAUUUAUUUUGGUUUUAUAUAAUUUAUAAAUUUUUAUUAUAAGUAGAUUCAUAUAUUUAUGUAUUUAAGCCGUGGGGCAUCAUCUUUGUAGGUAAGAAUUGUGUUAAAAUAGGUUAGGUUUGAGUAGGGAUUAUAGUUUCUUUUCAUUUAGAAGAUGGAAUGCAGAAAUUGGGUAAUUAAUGACAAGCAUUGAUAUAGAUAUUGAAAGAAAUAUUGACAUGGAUGGAGCAGAAAAUGCCAGACUUGGUUGUGAAUGAAUAUAUGUUGCUUCAUGAAUACUUAUAAUUCUCUGUUUGACUUAAAUGUUUAUACUUAAAUCGUUUAACACACAUUAUGUAUUAUAUUACUGUAACGUUAACUAUUUUUUAAUUUGUAUUAGGUAAAUGGGACCUAAAAAGAACAAAGGAAGACCUAGGAAGACUAAAGGAAAGGUGCAUGAGAGAUUACAAGAAGAGCAACCAACAGUAGAAGACCAUCAAGCAACAGUUGAUCAACCAACAUUACAUGAUCAACCAGCAUAAAUAAUCACCUUGAUUAUCAACCAACAACAUAUGUUGAACCAGUAGCAUGUGAAGGAAGACUGCACGAAAAAAAACUUUUAAGAGAGCUCGAAUUAUAAGAACCUGAAGAUAAUAACAUAUGUGAACCAAAAUUUUGUUUUAAAAAACACGAGGACUCACAAAUAUGAAAUACAUUGCCAAGGAUCCAGAUAGCUGAGUACGAGUAGACUUCAAUCUUGUGGGAGAACCAUAUAGACUUGGCUUAGUUAAGUUUUCUUCAUACUUAGGCUCUUUAGUUUGCAAGCAUUUGCCGUACACCAUAGAAAGCUGGAUAAAGAUUGGUGAAGAGAUCAAGAUUGUUUUAUGGAAAUAUGUCCAGGUAAAGGGUGACAACUUGUCUGGUGGCAAGUUCAAUUGGUGACAACUUGUCUGGUGGGAAGGUUGUUAAAGGGUGAGGACAUGGGUUCGAGGAACGCCAGGCGCACCAAUAACCUACCUGGUGGGCCAGGGGGUUGCGAGUAAGUGGGCUGUGCAUUUGGGCCCACAGGAGAGAGGUUAGGGUCGAUGCGCUGCAGCGCUUGUAGCUGCCAUAUGGCGGGGUGUGUCAUGUGGUAGGAGUUCCCACCGGGAUGGGUUGUUAAAUAAAAUUAAAAUUACAAAUUUAAAAUUUAAAAUCUAAAAUCUAAAAUCUAAAACUACAAUUUUUAUUUUACUAGUUUGUGAAGCAACCACCUCCAAAGAAAUAGUUUGUUUCCGGUAUCUCAUGAAUACAUACAUUUCCAUGCGGUUGGACAAUUCUUCUACCCCCAAUGCAUACAGUCGAUGCUUCCAACCAUCUCUGGAAAACCCCGUUGUUCUCCAAUAUAAAUUAGCCUUGGGAGAUCCUCUGGUGUAGAGCGUCUUAGGUAUUUAUCGCAAAACAAGUCAACAACUCCCACAAAAAAAUGUUCCAAACACUUACGAGCCGUCGUUUCACAAAAACGUAUAUAUUCGUCAACCGUGUCUUUCCCACCCCUAUAUGCUAAUAGUUGAAUUGCUGCAAUACAUUUUUGGAGGGGUGAUAUACUAUUUCGGAAUGUUGCAUUUUUUUUUGGUUGAAAAUAUGGAACUUCUACAGAGAGAUGAUUCCCAAUACGCAUGAACAAUGAGAGACGAAGAAACGAUUGUUGUGUUUCCGAGUGAUAUAAUUUGAGUGAAAAUGAGAGAGAUUAGAGCUUGUGUAUUGGAAGAAAUUGUUGUGUUUGUGAGUGAUAUAAUUUGAGAGAAAAUGAGAGAGAGGAGAGCUUGUGUAUUGGAAGAAAUUGUUGUGUUUGUGAGAGAAAAUGAGAGAGAGGAGAGCUUGUGUAUUGGAAGAGAUUGUUGUGUUGUUCUUUCGAGAAGUAAGCGAUUUUGAGUAGAGGAAUGAAGUUUACCAUGUAUUAUUAUAUAGAAAUGUUUGUUCAGAAAACAACAAACUCAUGUGAAUUAUAAAAACAAAAAAAACAUGGCUGUCACAAAUAGAAGCAAUACAAAAACAUGUGAUUCAUUCACUUUCUAGUCACACAUGAUAACAAACUCAUGUGAAUCACAAAAAUCCAAUCAUACAAUAAUCGAUGAUAGCAUAUCUUCUUUACCAUCUCUAUUACAAACCCAAAUCUCUCUUACUUACUUAUCAGAACUAUUGACAGAAAUAGGCACAAAACAGUUAAGCUCACACCAACAACCAACUCAUAUCUUAAUGUAAACCUAGUCUUCUGCAACUCAUCAACAAUCUUCUCAAGGCUCACAACCUUCUCAUCAGUUUUACUAUGUUUUUCUCUCACCUGGUUAAGGUCCAAUUCAUAUAAUCUGGCUCUUUCUCUCAUCUCCUCCAUAACUCCCACAUCCCACCACUUGUGAUCAUGCAUCUCUCCAUCAUCAGCAUUAUCACAGGUGAAGAACCUCCAAUAACAAUAACAAUAGCAAUAACAAUAACAAUAGCAGUAACAAUAAAAAGUAAGUGGAUACAUAAAACAUAAAUCAGAGAAUGAAACUGACCUUCUCCCCGGAUCAUUUCUGGUGUAAGAGGUAUUUAUAAAAGGCUGACCAGCACAAUAACAUAUCUUGGGGAAUCCAACAUCAACCUCAGGUUGAGUCAGCUGGGCAUUGUGAUACCUACUCUCAGCUUCAUCCAUAAGAAUGUAUGCUUCAGUAUCCCUGUUUAUAGUGUCCUCUGUGUAGUGGUCAGUCGGAUCUGAAGAAGAAUCUUGUGAGUAGCUAUAAUCAUGUCCCAUUGUAUACUUAACCUGGAAAGAAAGAUAUAGACAGUUGAUAGAGUAUGAGAUAAUACAGCAAACAAGAUAAUACUUCACCUAUAAUCUGUAUCAAUUUCAUAUAGCAAACAAGAGAUAAAUACUUAGACAGAUAGAAAACAAAAGUGUUUAUAUUAAUAAGAGAUAAAACAUAACUUAUAAAUUAGGAGAUAUCACACAACUGAUACAUUAAGAGAUAUCACACAACUGAUACAUUAAGAGAUAUCACACAACUGAUACAUUAAGAGAUAUCACACAACUGAUACAUUAAGAGAUAAUACAUAAUCCAAAAUAAAAAACUUAGCUAGUUAAGAUAAAACACAACUGAUACAUUGAUAGAUAAUACUUAGACAGAAAAUAAAGAGGCUUGCUAGUUAGAACAAUAAAGAUUAAAGGUAGUUAGAAUAGUUCAGUCAUUAGCUUCUUCUUAAGAGCAACUUCGUCUUCAUCAAGUGGUUGUCUCUUGGCAAUGAGAGUGUCAAGAAUGGACAUCUUUUGGAGUUCUUUCUUGGCCUAGUUCUUUCUUGGCCUCAUUAUCGUUUUGUUUGUUCUCACAGAGUAUGAGAUACUUAGUAGAAGGUGCAACAUUUUCUUUACCUUUGUACCUUUUCGCUUUCAUUGCCUUUACACCAGAAGGCCUACUAUCUUGUUCAUUGGUAACAGAUCCAAAAGAUGGUGCAGCAUCCUCACCUUUUCUUUUCUUGCUUGAUCUGUUGCUAGUAAGGUUCAUUAAUCCUAAACUGCACCAUUUCUGUUCAUUUUUCAACUCAACCCAUGCAUGCUAUAAGGUAAACUUCUUAUUGUAAAGCGUCAACUGAUGAGCAUUCUUUAGAAUGUCAACAUCAUUCAUUCGAAUAGUUUUUUCACCCUCAACAGAUGCAUAUGCUCCAUAGAAAUGGCUCACAUCCUUGCUGAUUCUUCCCGACCUUUGCUUGCAAUGGUCAGACAGCCUUGCUUCACCACCAUUCAUGACAUGAUCACUUGCUGCAUAUUAGUCUGCAAUCCUUUUCCAGAAGGUCCAUGACCUUUGGCCAUUUCCAACAAUAACAUCCUUGGUUGUGUUCAACCAGCCGUUAAUCAAAACUAGAUCAUAUGCGCUGUUCCAUUGCCUUCUUCCUAAUAGCAGUUGUUGUGGCUUGAGAUUGAGUUGGAGCAUGACUCUGUUGCUGGCUAAAAGAAGGCAUUUGGCUGGCUUGAGAUGGUACAUCAUGUCUCUGUUGCUGGGUAAAAGAAGGGAUUUGGCUGUCUUGUGAUGAUGCAAAGUUAACAUUGGGAGAGAAGCUAUCAUAAGGGAAGUUAUGUAGGCUAAAGUAUAUGGGACACCCACUAGAUGGAUUAUUAUUUGAAUCCAUAGCAAAAGAUUAAUUGAAAGGAAGAAGCAAAAAAGAGAGAUGAUAGAAGACAAAUGAUAGAAGAGAGAUGAUAAAAGAGAGAUGAUAGAAGAGAGAAGAUAGAAGGGAAAUUAGGUAGAGGUUAAAAUUCAGAAGCAAAGAAGGUAGAUGAUAGAAGAUAAUUAAAAUCAGUACAUAACGAGGCUUUGGGUUAUAGUUAAUAGAGUUAAGUCACAACUAACAAUUACCUACCUCAGUCAAAUCAUUAUCAACUCUCAUUAACUAAAUAGUUAUCUUCUUAUAACAAUGAUAGUUUUCUAGUUCUUAAAAGAAGGAAAGCAUACAAGAUCAUUUACUUUAAAGUAUAAUUAGUAAUCUUGUUGUAACAAUCAUUUCAAAAGUAUAAGAAGAACAAAGCUCAGAGAUAUAAAGGCAAACAAAAUGAAAAUUCACUAACCAUUCACAAAGACAGUACAAUUUACAGGUUCAAUUUAUGGCAAGAAAGUACAAUUUAAAGGUUCAAAGCUAUUAAAAGAACAAAGCUCAUAUAUAUUAACGCAAACAGAUGUGUGAGCUGUAAAGCAAGAGAAUGUGAUACUAGAUACUUCAAUUUACAGCUUUAAUUUAUUCCAACACAGUACAAUUCAUUAGACUACCAAUUUACAGGUUCAAAUAACAACAAGACAAUGAGUAACCAAUACACAUCUCUUUUCACACGAAGAACCAUGCAUUAAGAAAAUCUAAUGCAUNNNNNNNNNNNNNNNNNNNNNNNNNNNNNNNNNNNNNNNNNNNNNNNNNNNNNNNNNNNNNNNNNNNNNNNNNNNNNNNNNNNNNNNNNNNNNNNNNNNNGGAUUGUGUAACAUACCUAUAAGUUUGGAGUUAAUUGUGCUGAUUAUCCGAAUGAGCUUUCCCUGGUAUCUUCAACAUCAAUCCUCACAAACAAAGGAAUAAACAAGAGUUAAGGUUCAUCUUUACACUAUAAUCAUAUGCAUUAACUAUUAACUAAAUGGAUUUUGUGACAUACUUAAUAGUUUGGAGUUAAUUGUGCUGAUUAACAUAACAUACUAAACUACAUCGACAUCGACUAAACAUUUUCAGACCAACAACAGAUCUAAAUCCUCUUUCAACACAAUUUAAACCAACAUAUCUAAACCCUAGAACUGGAAACCUGUACAACUGAUAACUUCUUGUUUUCAUGCGCUACUCGAACCAAGGACCUCCAAGCUUUUGGAAAUAGUACCUACUGAUUUUGCUCAUGCUGAUUGAUCAUUUGUUGUAUCUAUGGUGUCCACAAAUAAACAUUUAGCUACUGGUCAUGCUACAAAAGAUUAAGUCAAUCAUAUAGGUAUGUCACAUCAAUUGUUGGCUUUCAUAUAAAUGUAUGCGGCAUGUGUACGACAUCUAUAAAAUCUUUAACUACCUUUGGUCCUAGGUGCAGUCCAUUAACCAAUGUCUUGCGGUUUUGUGUUUGCCACCGUACCUCAAAAACAACUAUAACACCAUUAGACGAAGCAAGUAGCGUGCAUUCUCGCUAUUAAAUCAUAUUCAAACAAGAAGUUGUAGGUUUUAAUGGUAUAUAAAUCUCAGUAAUUAUUUAUGUCAAAAACUCAUAUACUAUAAUUAGAGAAUUGUGAGAAGUUUCGGAAAAUGAAAGGUUUAUUGUGAUUUUAGGUUUUGUUACUGUGACAGAAGAGAAGUAACAUAGAAUGUUAAAAAGGAGAACAAAGUUAAUAAAGAGUACUUUUGUGAUUGGUUAAUUAGCCGGUGGUGUUAUUAUUUAUCAAAUGUUCAAAAGUAUUUUCAAAUUCUUUGUUCUAAUUGGCCAGAUCUAUACACCAAUCACUAUAGCCUAGGGCCUAAUACUAAUAAUUACUUUUUAUCAGGUUUUUGAGUUAAUAGAUUUUUAUCAGGUAAAUGAAUGCUUUUGCACACACAAAGCAAAAAAGAUAAAAAUAAAAUAAAUGGGUAAAUCAAUCGUGUCUUACCCUUUUAAAUUAAUUGAAUUUGAAUUUACAACUGAAAUAGGUAAAGUUGGAAGGUGUUCUUUUAAGAGAAAUUGGCCAUUUCAUACCGAACCUAAAUAUGAAUGUACAAUUCAUACCUAACAUUUUUCUAUAUGUCAUUAUAUACCCGAAUGUUAGGUAUGAAUUGAACACUCAUAAUUAUGAAGUGUAUAAAAUGUUUAAUUUCCCGUUCUUUUGUAUGAAAGUUUAAAGAACCAUUUGAAGGAAAAAAGGAGUAGAAAAAUUGGUAGGAAACUUGAAUGAAUACAUUAUAUGUAGAAAAAUUGAAGGCGAUCAUUUGAUUGGACCUAUAACAAAUUUUACAAAAAAUGGUUCAAAAAACUCUUCUGCGUUUGUACCACCACUAAAUUCUUAUCAUAUAGAUUUCAAACAAGUGAUAUCCUACCAUCUUCUGUAGGAUAAUUGAAAGAAAUGGUUUUUUCUACUAUUUUUUUACGCUUAUGUCCGUAGGAAAUCGGUUAAUUUCUUGUAGUUAUAUAUGUGAAAUAUGGUUAAAACUGAUAUUUGGUAUACUUUAUUUGUAGACUUAUUAUAAAAUGGACAAGUCUUGGAUUACAAAACAUCGUUUAUCUGAAGAUUAAAUGAUAUUAAGAGAGAGAUGAUUAAAUUUCCUUGCUAGAGUUGGUGCCUAGUUAUUGAGGUUGAGGGUCAAGGUUUUCUACCAAUAUAUACAAGUUUGAAGAUACACGAAUAACAUUUAGAUUUCUAUGAAGAGACCAUCCGAUUAAAAUUUGAAUCCAAUGUAGAUACUGAAACCCAUACAUUUUAUAUUUAAUUACAUAUGUGCCAUUUUAUUAAUUUUAAAAGGUUAAUUAAUUAAAGAAGGUAAUAGAAAAAAGAAAACCCUAAUCUCAUUUUUUAUCGAACAGUCGUUUUCUCUCCUUUUAGUGGGAAUUAAGUGACGAUUCCGGCGAAACUCUGUUCGUGAUGUUCCGGUGACUAGGUGAUAUGAUUAUGGGAAGUUUCAAGACAUGUUGUCAUUGUUUUAAGCAUAUCUUCUCAACCACGAAACAUCUAUGCACGAAACGAUUUGGAGAAAAUGCUCAACUCAACUACAGAACUCCUCAAAGAAGAAUCAAAUCAAAUGGAGUUCAGACGAAAGAGUUAUUUAUUUUACGAAUCAGGUGUUCUCCAGUUUACCCGAUUCGAGGGAAAAUCCUUUAUCAAGAAGGAGAGUAUGGUAUGAUUAUGGGAAGCUUCAAGACAUGUCGUUAUUGUUUUAAGCGUAUAUUCUCAACCACGAAGAAUCUAUGCAUGAAAAGACUUGGAGAAGAUGCUAAACUCAACUACAGAACUCCUCAAAGAAGAAAUAAGUCAAAAGGAGUUCAGACGAAGGAGUUUUUGAUUUUACAAAUCAGGUAAUCUCCAUUUUUCCUGAUUCAGAUAUGCGUCCAUUCAACGAACGGACCAGAAUGAAUUAAGGUACAAACUAAGUUGUUCUAUAAACUUGGUCCAUGAGAGAAGCCCAACUAGGUGGAUUCAGUCCAAAAAGAAUGAAGAAAGAUCAAUAUUUGUCCAUAGGAAAAUAGCAUUGAAUUCUCUCGAUUUAUCUCUCUUACAUGCACUUUAGAGUUGAAUAUCAUCUCCAUAGAUGCUCUGCAUGUUGAGCUAUUAUUAUUGAAGUUUUUGAUGUAUUUCCCCUCUAUAUAAUGAGGUUAUCUCAUGAAUAAUAAGAAUAAGCCUUUUUGAUAUUUUUGGAACCUUUGAGAGUGUUUAUCAUUUUUUGUCAAUGGUGUGUAAUACUCAUUGGUUUUGUUUAUGGUAAUAUCCAUUGAUCAAUGCAUGAUCCGUCUUGGUAUGUCAUAUCCAGGGGGUUUUGUCGAGAGUGAUUCUCAUUUUAACCCUUGAAUUCGUCUUAGUGUGUCAUAUCUAAGUUAUUCAAGUUCGGUAAAUCAAGAGUCUUCCGCAGCUCUUGUGCAACCAUUCGCUCCACCAUCCUUGUUCUUCGUGGCUUCACCAUCCGUUGAACCUAAGGAAUAUCUUUCACCAUCUUAGAGUGUCGAGUCCUCGAGAGGAUCGUAUCACUAGGACGGCGUCUCUGGGUAAUUUCCGGUCAGAACCAGGUAGAUUUGGUUGGAUGUUCGAGUAAAGAUUAGUAUUAUAUAUUAGACAAGUAAUAGAUAUCUGACAUAAGUUGUUUUGUUCUAGGUUUUCAAUCGACGGCGGGGGUGAGGCGUAGGCGAGUGGUAGUCGUAGCCGAGGUGUCCGUGACGGGUAAAGAGACCAUCAUUGUUUGGGAAGACAAAAAGGCGGUUGGUUAGAGGACGACGGAUGGUAUUCUGAGUCGUCUCUACUGUCGAAGCUUUUGGGUCUGUUGACACUUCCGGUAAGUGUGUUGAGUAGAGUUCAUUUCCUUUAAGUAUGGUGGGAAAUUAGUGACAUAGUUUUUUCAAAGGUUUUGAACGAACGACGAGGAGAGUGUAGAGAUCUAAGAAGAAUCCGGUGUUGAUUCAAAAGAUAAAAUGAUUACAAUGUUAGGUAACUGCUUAUCUUAAACAGGGAGAUUGAAUGUAUAUUUUCUGCGUUUUAAUAUGCUGGUCUGGGUUAUGAUCAUUUGAUCAUCAUUUUUGAUAAGAACAAUUGUGGUAAAUGAUAAUCUAAUAAUGAAUUCGAAUUUGGCGGGUUGAUAUUUGUUCGAUAAAGUAAGCAGUUUAUUUAGAACUCUAUGGUAGAGUAGUUUGAUGGAAAAUUGAUUUGGUUAGGUGGUUUGACAUUAAAAUGGAAAUUGGUUCGGUUAAAGUGUAAUGAAAAUGACAUGUCUGUGUGACAUAAUUUAUAAACAGAGUUAGUAAAUAGAGUUGUAUGGCAGAGUUAAAAUAGAAAACGCGAUGGAAUGAUAAUUUGAGCAUAGAAAACAAAACUGAAAAUAGUUGGAUGUUGUAGAUUCAUUUUAUUUGUUUGCUAUGCUAAUGACAGAGAUUUAAGACUAACAUUUUCCUCGCAUAAAUGGUAAUACGAAAGGCAGUUUAUAAGUGCAAUUUAGGAAUGGGUACAUAUUAGUGUAAAAUGAUAAUCUAAUCAUGCAAUAAAAUUUGGCGGGUUGGUCUUGGUUUGAUAGUGUUUGCACUGAAUUUAGAACUCUAGAUUUGGUUUGGUGGUUUGGUAUUGAAAAGUAAAUUGAUUUGGUAUAAGUAAUGGAAAUGACAUGUGGCUGUGACAAAGAUAAUUAAUAGAGUUGUGAAAUAGAGUUGUGUGGUAGUGUAAAUAUUGUAAAUGCAAUUGACCGAUAGUUUGAGCAUGUACUAACAGAAAAAUAGUUGGAGGUUGUAUAUUUCAAUUUAUAAUAUUUUUUUAUAUGACAAAUAGGUAAGACUGUUUUUGUGACAUUUUUGUGUUAUACUCUUGAUUUGUAUGAUGAUAGAUAGAACUGCAGUUUUCAUAUGAGAUCUUUGUUAUUAAUUAUAAGAGUUUUUGACCUUAUGAUUUUUUUCAUUUGCAGGAUUGGCAUCUACAGGUGUUGAGAAGGGCCCGAGGUACCCUCUAAGGCAGUAUCCUAAAGGAAAAGCUCCAUUCCUGAAAAUGAGCAUGCACCAUAACUGCACACUGGCCAGUUUUGGAUUUAUCAAAAAGUGCAUAGGUGAAUAUGUGUAUAAUGACAUCCGGAUAAUUCACAAGUUGGAGUUGUAUUAAAGCUUGCGGAUUCUAAUUAUGUAUGGUGGGGAAAGCUUAUUCAUUACAUCUGAACUUGCAGUUGGCAAUACAGAGGAAGUAUGGGAUAUGGCUUUGAUUGAAGGUAGUCCCAUUAGGUUCUCCCUCCAUGAAUAUAAAAACAUAACCGGACUGAACUAUGGUCCAUUUGUUGAGGAGGAUAUAGUGGAGGUUGAUCACAGAGAUUUUAGGGUAGAGAUCACUGUGGAUGGAGGUGUAGGGCCGAACUGGUACGAGCUGGAUGAAGCUCUAAAGAAUUGUAUGAUUUGGUCUCGUGAGAAGAGAAAGAUGAUUGGAGUGAUAUUUGUAGUCCAUGUAGGUAUUUUGGGAAUAUCCAGGUCAAGUAGGAUUCCACUUGACUAUGCUAAAACAGUGCUGGAUAAUGGUGUUUUUGAGAGAUUGCCUUGGGGCAGGAUUGAUUUUAAAGAGCUCAUUCAGUCCAUCAAAGUGGUGUCCUAUGAGCUAUGCAGAGUCUUCAUAAGCUCGGGAAAAACUAUGGGAACAAAUGGAAGUUAGAUGAGCAUGAGGCAAAUACUGAUGAUAUUGUUCCACUACUGAUGUGGAGUGCACGUCGUCCAGGAAUUGAUAUAGGGAAGUUUUUGCCACAGAGAAACGAAAGAAGAAAAAGGUGAUUCUCAAAUUUUUUCCCAGUCUAAUAUGUUUUUAUUUCCAUCUAUGUGUAUUGUUAUGUCCUGACAGAGUUAUUGUCAUCCAUUUGUUAUUUUCUGAUAGAGUUAUCUUUGAUGUGAUUGAAGUUAACUCAUAUGGCGUGGAAAUCUGAAGAGAAUAUAUACCCUUUCUAUCUAGAUGAAGUAGGUUUGUAUCCGAAAGGAUCAGUGGGAAUCAAGCUCCUGGACAAUUUGUUCCACGACAUCUUCCUUGGUCGUGUGGAUUCAACACAAUGGGAACUUGGUAAAGAGAAGGUUGCGGGUGAGAAGAUGAUGGAGAAGAGGAAGGAUAUAGUGCAAAGUGAUGAUAUUGUUGACCCUCCUCCACUGAAAAAAACCAAAGACUACCUUGAGGAGAUCAAGAGGGCCUGUGAAGUUGAAGGAUGUGACUGAUGAAAGUGGAGAGGAAACCGAGGCUGCUAAGAUGGAAGAAGAAGGAUCACUGGUCGGAGUGAUGAAGUUACUCUAAAGUUUGUCUGGCAAGAUGUACUCUAUGAAUUCAAACUUUCGAGUGCAACUGAAUAUGCUAGGGACUCAAGUGAAGGAGAUUGAAAAGAAAGUCACUGUUCUUGAGGGAGAUGUGGGACAACUGAAGCAAGCUGAAGAGACUAAACAAGUAAGAAGGGGAAGGAAGUGAAGCAUGGGAGUUCUAUGAAGAUAGGACUGACUCCUAAUGAUGAGGAACCUAAAACCGACUAUGCUGCUGGUUCAGGGGCCAAUGAAGAGGUAUGAAAACUUCUCUUAUAUGAUGAGAACCAUGAUAUUAACAUGCUGAAGAAGAAAAUCCCGAGGACGGAGAAAAUCCUAAUGAUGAAGACAGCCAAGCUUUGUUAGACCGUUUGCUAGCUUUUCCAGGCCGACACCAUCUACCACUUCUGUCAAAGGAUCCUAUCCUUUUCUCUUUGGUAAUGUCUCUCCUUUUCUCUGUUUACAUAUCAUUUCUCAUCUGAUUUUGAGGAACUUAACUUGUUUGCUUUAGUCCUCCAGAAAAGUGACUAAUGCUGCAAUGUUUGCUUUAGUCCUCUAGUCCUCCAGUCCUUUAUGAAUGUGAUCUCGCUACUUUGAUUUUAAUGUCAGCAGCUAAGUUAAAUCUCUUGCUAAUUCUCUGUUGCUUCAGUAAGGUAUUAGUUAGAUCCAAUGAGUUUAAUAAGGACUGAUUCUACCAAUGUCUUGGUGUGUGGUCUCAUGUAAUGUCUACUACUCUCUUUAAUAAGGACUAAUACUCUGCUUUUUGUGACAGUUUCAACAGGCACAGAGGUAUACUUUCUCGAGCGAUUGCACGAAUAAUUAUGAGGAAAUUUGAUGGUCCUUACUAAAGGUUGAAGGUUACUCAUCCAUCCAUUCGAGAGAGAGAGAUAUUACAGGAAUUUUGCGGUAAAAUGUCAUAUAGCUUUAAAAGUGUUAUUAUCACUCAUGAAUGACUUAGUAUCUAUGCUUACUUAACUCUUUUGUAUUAUGUAGCGGAAGUUCAACUGGGAUAGUGAUAUUACUGAGUUUGUUAAAGAUGGAUUCUUGGUAAUAGCCAAGAAACGGAUGAAAGGGAUUGUGAGUCAAGCUAAGAGAAGUGGUACAUAACCUAUUUGGAUUAAGAAUACACUGUGGGCUCGGGUGGUUGUUCAUUGGAACAACCCUGAUGUAAUAGAGAAGAGCUCAAAUGCUUCACAGAGCAGAAACUCCGAUCAUGGCGGUCUCGGAGUCCCCAAACAUGUAGCUGGUCAGAAAUCAUUUUUGCGAGUUCAUCAAGAAAUGGUAAUACUUCUCUGUCCAUCAAAACAAUUCACUGCACUUCAUUUCAGAUAAUGAUUUCUUGAUUUUAACUAGUUUUAUUUGCCUUGUAGGAGGAAGAAUUAGGGCGCCCUGUAUCACUUUGCGAAGUGUUUAUGCGAACACAUACUCGAGCUGACGGAUAAUUGGUUGAUCAAAAAGCUAAACAAGUAGCUGGGAACUAUGAGAAGACGUUAGAAGAGAAACUGUCUGAAAUUGACGAGGAUGGUCCAUAAACUUCUUCUGAAAAUUCAACUCAACGUACUCUUAAUAUUGGUGAAAAGAAUGACAUCUUUCUUAAGGUAAUUCUUUAGUACUCAUAAUUUGUUAAGCAUAUGACGCUUGUUUGUUACUGGUGUGAUUUUCCUUGUGGUUUUUCAUCUCUUCAUUUACAUGAUAAAUGUAUAAUACUUGUUGUUAGUGUGGAUACUGAUGGUUCUCUAUUUGGUCUGUAUUUUCUGUUGCUGGUCUGAAUUUUGUUGGUCUUAAAAUUUGGUUUUGUUGAAUUUUUUUGUUUUAGUGUACUAAAACAGAUGACAAGGGCAACCCUUUUUCCCUGGGAUCACUUGUGGAGACACUGAAGAGAGGGAAAAGAAAACAAGCUUAUGAAAGCUCUUCUUCAUCAACAGUUUUGGAGUUUCAAGAAAAACUUCGUCGCAACAUGGCUCAUCAUGAGGCUGAGAAUGCACGACGUGAAGAGGAGCACCGACAAAUGCAAAUGCAGUUGCAAAAGCUUUUCCUCUAUAUGAAAGACAAAGAUCCAGAAUUUGCAUCUUUUCCGGUUUCUUCUCCAACUGUACCUGCAACCAUAGCUGACACCACACCUGUAGCCACCAGACCACCAACCACUGCACCAGCCACUGCACCAGCCACUGCGACAAGUACUUGAACCAGCCACUUCACCAGCUGCCGUGAUAGGUUCUGCAUUUGCCACCUUGUUUGGCACCACACCAGUCCCAUAACCCCUUUGUCUGACGCUUCCUACUCAUAAACAUGAUAUGCUUAACUUUUGAUGUAAUUUAUAUGUUAACGUUUGGUUUACUUUUUGUUAUGAACAAUUAGGAUGUUUAUUGUAUGAUUAGGAUGAUGGUUUCUUUGUAAAUAUAUGAUUAGGAUGAUAUUUAUCUUAAUUAUUUGGGUUUUAAAUGUUAUAUUUCGUAAUUUAUUUAGAUUAGUAAUCAAAUUAGGUCAAUAAAACAAGAUUCUUGGAUGCCAAAAUAUCACCAAGUUGCGACCAUUUCAAUUUACAUACACAACCAAACUAGUUGCAUAAUGGUUACAAUACAAAACUACUGUCAGACUGUAUAUAUUGGGUCUUAAAUUAGUCGCAAAUUUUAAACACCCAUUUGUGACUGUAUUGUAACUGAAAGAAGUAUUACGUCUGAUUAUUAAAGGUCUGUAAAACGCCGCUUAUUAACGACUACAUUUUACAGUCAUAAAGUGGUCAUACAUUUGCGACUAUUUCAGGACUAAUUUAUGUAGUGACCAUUUUUUAGCGACCAUCUGUUAUAGUCGUGAAGUAGUCGUGAAAUAGGUGUUUGCGACCAUUUUAUGACGUUACUCGGAGUCGCAAAUGACGUGUUUUCUUGUAUCAUGGGUAAAAAACAGAAAUAUGUACUAACCGCAAAGAUAGAGGGUACAGUUCUGCAGAUACGGAAAUAACACACGAAAAGCUUGUGAAGUUGGUUCUCGAUGGCUACGAAUUGAAGGAAUUGAGCCAUUAGGUAAAGCUGAGCUACAUGUUCUCGUUAGAAUAGCUCUACCAAGUCUAGAAAUAGUAAGCGUUAAGCCAACCAUGGCGCUGGCAUAACUUGGCCAAACCACAAAUUUAUCUUCGUGAAGUCAGCUAUGUUGUUAGAAUAACUCAGCCAAACCUCGAAUUAUUCUGUGAUAAGUCAACCAUGUCGCUAGCAUAACUCGGACAAACUUCAAAUAUGGUAGAUGUGAAUAUUUGAUACACUCAUGUAAUUAAAACACUUUAAUAAGAUGUAAUUAAAAUUUAUAUUCACUUUAAUAAACCAGAUAAUGAUCAUGAAAUUAGCUCUUGUUUGUACUUUUUAAACAUAUCCAACAAAAUGAUAAACCCCAAACUUUAUACUUAGCUUCCAUUUCUAGACAAUUGAUCAAUAUAAAAUGUGAAUGGGUUGUAAGUGUGAAAUUUUUAUUGUAUUUUAAUAUUAUAAAUCUUAACAUUGUUAUAACCAAUACUAAUUGUAACAUACAAAUGUCCCUUUAAAUUAAAAGUUUACUCAUAAGUCAGCAGUGAAAAGUAAAUAACACAGCUGUGACGUAUUAUUUUACAGUCAAACACAAAACUUUGAAUUAUUUUGAAUACUGUUUUUGGAAAAUUAGAUUAUUUUGGAUAAAAAAUUUUGAAUAGUUUUGAUUAAUUUUUAAAAAAGAUAUUAAUUUAUGAAUUUAUUAUGAGUGAGUGUGUGAAAAUGUGUACAUAAUUAUUGUUGGCGUUUCCACAAAAACACUUUUUAUAAUCUCGAAAAUGUAUAUCAUAACCCAGCUGUAAUAUGGAAUAACUCUGUUGUAAUGUAGCAUAACUAAGCCGAAAUGUGACAUAACUCAGACAAAAAGUUAAAAGCGACUUUUCGUAUUUCUUUGUUAUUUUUGUCGGAAAACGAAUAGUACCCACUCGAGUUCAGACGAAAUGUGACAGCAAUGAGAAGCGGUGAUGGUUUUUUGUUUAGUUGUGGAAUCUUCGAGAGAGGGAACGAUGUUUUCUUUUUUGUGUUCGUGAACAAUGAUCCAAACGAUUCACUUUUCCCCUUUCUUAAUCAUUAAUGACAGAGUACAUAUUAAUAAUGACGUGGAUAUUUUGGGUAUGAAGUGGAUAUUUUGGGUAUAACGUGGAUUUUGAAGUAUGACAUGAAAUUGUUUAAUGAAAAGAUAACCAAAUCUGUUAAUUUUAUUUACACCCAUGACAGUAAACAUAUGAGUAAAUUUAAGAAAAAAAUUACAAUCUAGUAAUAUUCCAACAAUUGUGCAAUAUCUCAUUAAUAAUUUCUAAAAAGAAAUGUAAAAGUAAAUAACAUAGUAUUAUAAAAUCUUCUAUCUUUUAUGUUCAAUUCUCUCAUUUUCUUGGGUUAUCCUUGGCUUUCAUCUUCUAUCAAAAUGCCAAAUCAUUUUUGUUGGAGAGAAUCAAAGUAAAUAGACAGAUUCAAUUACCAGAACAUAACGCUUUCAGAUUGAGGAUUUAAUCAAAAUUAACCAAUUGUAGAAUCUUAACCAAAUGCAUCAAACAAGGUUUAACACAUUAUGCAUAGCUAUAAUUUGCUUCAUAAUUGCAUCUAAAUAUCAUUUUCCAAUAAAGAGGUAAAAAUAAACGUACCAUACUUGAAAAAAUUCCAUAUCACGUCACUUUACGAUCAGUUUGGUCAUUUUUAGUCUUUGUCAUGCUACUAGGCUUAAACAGUAGAUAAAGAUAUGUUAAACAUGAGAAUAAGUUUGGAUAUCUGCAAGUUAACUACACACCACAAUUAUAGAUUUCAAGCAUCAUCAUGUAAGACAAAUAUGCUCUUGAAAUCGGUUGUUCUAAAUAAUAAUCUGAAGAGAUUUAGCCACAAUAUAAAGUUUAUCUUCAAUUAUUUUCAUGCGAGACUUCGGUUCAAGUAUCUCAGAGUUAAUUCUUAUCUCUGAUUCUAGACUAUGAAAGUAUUUGGACGGUGAUGGACCACGAAUACUUGUGCUCGGAACCGAAUACUUAUUCAAACGCAUCCUUAGGACCAGACUCACUACUUGAUGAUUCACUUUUAAUAUUCUGAUUUAUUACGUGUGUAAGCUUAUCUUACAGGUUUCAAAAAUCCUAUGUAAGAAGACUAAAACAGAGAAUAAUAUAAAGUAAACUAAUCCACAAACUAAUAGUAGGAAAUUAGAAGGAAACAAUAAUUUAUAAUUAUUUCGUUUGUAACCUUCUAAACACAAAAUAGAUAUUUAUUAUUUGCAAUAAAUAAGUUUGUAACCUUCUAAACACAAAAUAGAUAUUUAAAAUUUGUAUCAUAUUUUUUAUUGGGCCUAUAAUUAUAAUUGCUUAUAAACAUUAUAUUGUAUCAUUUGUAUAAGAAGAUAAAAAAUAAUUUAUAUCAUAUUUGUUUAAAAAUUUUACUUUGUUUAUUGGAGGGACAAAUUUUCUACGAAUACAAAAUUGUAGGAUUUUCUUAUGAAUAUUGUAAGAGUGUUUCUACCAAUUUCUUACUAUAGGUUAAUCUUAGGUUCUUAGAUAAAUUGUAGGUUAUAUUCAACAAAUAAUCCAAUCUUAUACUCAAAACUAUAAUCCAAUACUUAGAAAAUGUCAAAAAAAAAUUGUUUUCAAAGAAUGCAAAUCUAAUUAUCUCUAAGCCUUAACCAUUAAGCAAUUAUCUUGAUUAAGCCUACAUAAAUAGUUAAAUACACAACUAUUAAAUUAAAUUAGGAAGUUCAUUUAUAAAGGUUCUCAAAUAAACUCAUUAAAGACUAAAAUAUUAAAGUAAAAAGAAUAAUAAAUGCUAGGGAAUAAAACAACGUCAAAAAGAGUAUUUGAGAAGCUAAAAAUAUUGAAGCAAAAAGUAAUUUAAAUGAGCUUUUAAUUAGUAGCCCAUUAAAUAGUAACGUAACUUAGUAAACCCUAAUAUAAAAACAAAGUCUAGUGUUUUAUCUCUCAGCCGCAUGUUUCAACUUGCCGUUUGCUUCUCCUCGCUGUCAAAGUCAUCGGAACCGGCAAAAUUCAAAGAUGAAAACAUAAAAAGAAGGUUCGUUCAUUUGUAAAGUUGAGUUUCUCAUGUCCAGAUCUGAUUCAUUUGCCCAGUUCUGAUUCAUUUCUUGUUGUUAAUUUCUUGUUGCCCACAUUCACCACUACUCUUACACUCGACGGAGCCAUCAAACAUCAAAACUCAAUAUGCAGGGUGAGUUGACUGAGCACUAUUCUCUUUUUCUAUGUAUCUCAUCUUGUCCUUUGUAUUUUUGUUUGAUUUUUUUUCACUGGCCAGAUCUGAUUCAUUUAUCCUUAUGAAGAAAGUAAAUAUGAAGUGGAGGAAGAGCUUCAAUCAGAAGCAAAUUAAAAGGAAUAGAAGUGGAGGAAGAGUGUUAAUUUAAGGAAGAUCAUGAUCACUGGUGGUCUUUGUUCUAUCUAGUUUAGGUGUUUUGUAAUUUUAAUUUUGGUUUUGUAACAUAUUGAUUGGAACAUUUGUUUUUUUCUUUGGGUUAGGUUCUUAAUUUUUUUUUUUUGGAAUUGUAAAGGAAAAGAAAUUGUAUAUUCUAUUUAGUUAAUUAAUGAAAAACUUUGUGAAAUAAUAAUAAUUUUAUGAAAUAUUCGGUUUAAUAAUUACUAAUUAUUUAAUAAUUUAAAAUUUAAAUUUAACAAAAUUAUUGUGAUUAAUG